rnacentral:lncRNA from 1 species
CAAAAAUUUUCUCUACAGCGUGGUAGUUGAUGUUCUAAGUUCAAUCUCUAAGUUUUUUUUUUUUUUUUUUUUUUUUUUUGAAGAGAACACACACGAAAAAAAAUACUUUCUGAGAGUUCAAAGUAUCUUUUGUUGCAUUUUUCUCAAAUGGGUUCUUGGAUAAUCUUAGGAUGAGGCCAUCAAGCUGCUAUUUUUGUUCUUAAAUGGGGUUUUGCUAAGUAAGCAAACUAGGCUUAACUCGUCUUCUGAUAUUUGACAGAGUAGCAUUGUGGGUUUGGAGAGAGCUUAGGUGAACAUGGGUAGGAAGAAGAAGAUAAAUAAGGAAGAGAUUGCUGAGGAAUGGUGUUUUGUUUGCAAAGAUGGAGGUUUUAUGAGGGUUUGCGACUACAAGUAAGUCUAUUUUUCCUUUCAACUUUCAAGGGUCCACGACCCUACUUAAUGUGUAAGUCUAACAACUUGGGAUCUCUGUUUUGCUUGAGGGCCAAGAAGGGCUUUUCCUAUCUUUGCACAGUUUCCUAUUUUGGGCUGUUCUGGUUUUGGGUUGCCAAGUUGUUUCCUUUGUCAUUUCUAUUAUUACUUUAUGACGCACGUGAAUUGCACGUGAAUAUCCACUGCUCUUCUGCUCACUGUGCCUAUGAAGCUGUGAUACAUCUUUGAGGUUGAAGACUAGAAAUUGCAUAAACUGUUGGUAGCUUUGGCUUGAAAUCUAAUUGAUGAUUGUGAAAGUUAUUUUAUGUGUUGGCUUCUUAAGAUUUGCCAUUGGUGAAUCUCUAUAGUUCUCUAUUAGUUCAAGUCUUCAAGAUGCUACACGAAAGCUCUGACCAUGUAAUCCUGCUAUUUUAAAUUAUGUCCUUUGUAGUAAUCCUCUUAAAUUCUGUGAAAUUUGAUGUAUGAGAUGAUAGUUCACAUUUGGUGCAGAACAUGGAAAAAUGUGGAUAAGCUUUAACAUAAACAUAUUAUUAUGUAUUUAUAACCUUCUGCGUUCAGGGAUUGUGUUAAAGCAUUUCAUCCCCAAUGUGUGGAAAAUGAUGAUUCCUUCUUGGAGAGUGAAGAUCCCUGGACCUGCAGUAAGUUGCUAACUUUAAUCUAUAAUUGCUUUACUGUAUUCAAUCAUUUUCAAUGAAAUUUUCCUAUCUAAGAUGAAACAGAUCAAAGACCAUAAAAAAAAUAUUUUACCCAACAAACCAGAAUGCCAAGUCUUCUAGUAAUAUCCUAGUAUUUUACUGUCUUAAAGAGUGUUCUAGUCAUUCAUUGUCUAUUCUAAACUUCUAAACUUUCUCUUGUUGAUUUCACCAUUUAUAUUUUAUCAUUUUUCCAAGCCCAUAAGAUAAUUACUUUUACAUUUCAGAGUGGCAUUUUUGCUUCAUUUGCAAGAAUACUCCAAAAUUUCACUGCUUUUGCUGUCCAAAAGCUGUAUGUGGACGCUGCCUCUGCGAAGCUGAGUUUGUUGCAGUUAGAAUGAAACGAGGAUUCUGUAUUCACUGCUUAACACUUGCAAGAUUUAUAGAAGGAAUAAAGAAUUCUGAUUCUGAUGAGGUACGAUUACUCCUAAUUAAGUUUUCUACCAUUCCUGCUUAAAAAAUUGUCCAAUUAGAUGCUAUGCUAGAGUUGCUAGUCGUGUAAAAAUUCUGGUAGCUGUUCUAAGCAUGUUUGCAUUUUGUUUAGGAAUCCAUUGCUGCUGAAUGUUCUUGUGAUUAAAGAAGUAAAUAAACAAUGUAAUUGAAAAUAUUGGAAUCAAUUGGCAUAGUCAAAUUGAUAUAAAGGUGUGAUCGUUAGAUUAUCUUUUUCUUGUAUCAUUAGGCAGUAUUUGUAAGUAAUAAGUUCAGUUACAGAAGCAAUUCCUUAAUCCUUAGUCCCUUGAGCCAUCCACACUUUAAGCUUUCUAAUUCAUUGGUUUCUCAUUGGCUGUAUGCUUGUUAAUCUGUAGGUGAAGAUGGACUUCAAUGAUCAAGAUACAUAUGAAUUCAUGUUCAGGUAUUACUGGGAAAAAGUUAAACAAAAAGAAGACUUAACUUCAGCACAUGUCCGUUAUGCAAACAAUUUGUUUAAUAGUGGUAGAAAUGCUGGAAACUUAUAUGAUUCAGAUGAUAUUUCUGAAGGGGAAGAAGAUGUUAGCGAAUUUGAAGAUGAAAAUAUAUUUGAUAUUAAUGAUUUGAACAAUAGAAAAGGACAUAAAGCAGUGAAUAAGGUGAAAAGAAACGAGGGAAAUACUUAUACAACAAAAAGAAAGGUGAAGUCAACAAAAAACGAGUUCAAUGGAUGGGGAUCAAAACUCCUCUUUGACUUCCUUGCUUCCAUUGGUAAAGACACAACCCAACAAUUAUCACAAUAUGAUGUUACUAGCAUCAUAGAAAGAUACUGCAUUGAACACAAGCUUUUUCACCCAGAGAAAAAGAAGAAAAUUAUACGUGAUGUAUGGUUGAAAUCUCUUCUAGGAAGGCAAUCAGUUAAUAGGAAUAGUAUACAUAGCCUUUUGACACCCCAUUUUGCUGAGAAUUUUGAGCAAUCAGAAGAUGAGUAUGGAUAUGGUUCAAAAGAUAAGGAUGAGAAUAUCUCAAUAGCAUGUAAAAGGCAGCGAAACUCAAGCAGAGGUAGAAAGUCUCAGGCCAAAGAAGCAGUGCCAGAUGUGCAGCAAGGCUAUUUUGCAUCUAUCAUCACUGAAAACAUCAGGCAUCUCUACUUGAAUAGAAGUUUGGUGGAGGAGCUGUCAAAGCAACCUGAGACAUUUAAUGCUAAGGUAAUAGGAAGUUUCGUGAGAAUAAGAUCUGAUCCAUUUGACUAUUCACAGAAAAAUUAUCAUCAGCUUCUGAGAGUGACAGGUAAUUCUCUCACUGAUAGCUAUACUACUGAUCCAUAUUUGCAAAAGGUUUCCUAUAAUAAGGCAGUCCUGGGGACAAUUCACAAACCUUUUUUAUUGUCUUCUUCCUUGUGGGUCAAAAAUUGCACUUGCAUCAGAAUUUCCCAAUGCAAGAGUUAAGCUGUAUAAAUGAAAAUGCAUAGAUUAUACUCCCUCCGUUCUUUUUAUAUAAAAACAACUAAUUUUUCAUUAAGAUUAAGAAAGUAGUUUAAUCAACUUUUUUUUGUCAUUUUUUUCCUAAUUUACCCCUAAUAUAUCAUUUAUUCCUCCUCUAAUAUCAAUAUAUACCUUAAGUUAUGUUUCGAUCUUCAACGAGGUCUUAAAUGCUUUGUUGGAACAAAGGGAAUAAAAAUAGUUGCAAAAACUGGAGUUCAUGCACUGACCUGUGGAGAGAAAUUCAUUUUUUGUCCUUUAUUUGGGAAAAAUAUGAAAAUCUAUGUUCAAUUAACCUUACAACUGCCUUUGAUUAUUGAAAAUAUACUUUAAAUAUUGCGCAAUUUUUUAAAUAUUCAGCGAAAUCCGUAAAAAUUCCUUUUAAUGUGGUCAACUUGAAAAUUUUGUGACCUUUUUCUAUUCAAACUUCAUUUUAAUCAAUGCUUAUAUAACCUAUGCGAGCACAUUUUUUUUGUACAAUGGAAAUUGAUGAAAAAAAUCUAUUCUCCAAAAUUUAUUCAUAUUAAAUGCUCAUUUAUACUUUUAUCUAGCAUUAUCCUGAGAAUCUCACAAAAGAUUAAAACAAUGGUAAAAUAUAUUUUCACAUUAGCAUGGUUUCCAAAGUUAUCAAAUUAGGCAAAAUUUCCUAUAUAAAAAAAAAACACUUAACAUGGAAACUUUUCUUAUAUAAAAAGAAGAGAGGGAGUAACUAUUAAUGGUAGAAAUCAGUAAGUUCCAAAUAAUCAAGAUUUCUCCAUGUCAACUCAAGCUCUGACAUUUUUCUUCACCUCACUUGUUUCUUGUUGCAUAUCUACGAUCUGUUUGUGUUGUGUACAUGCAAUGUGGGUGUCAUCUGAAUCAAGUUAUAUGUACAAUCUGAGUGGUACAUUUUUUCCAACAAUCUUGAUGUUGUAAACUGGAGCCACUUUUACCUAUAAUUAUCAUUAAUAAUUACAGGCAUAAAGAGAACUUCAGGAGACGAAGCGAAUUCAGAUAUUCUCCUACAGGUUUCCAAUAUGCCAAAAGACAUACCCACUUGUAAGCUAUCAGAAGAUAACUUCUCUAAGGUAACAAUAACAUUUCAUAUUUGAAUGGUUACUUAACCCUUUAAGCUAUAUAGUAUUAUGAAGAUAAAGAAGCAGUUUAGCUGAUUGAUGCAAAGAACUCUCCAAUGUGAUCAUUUACUGAUUUGUGUUGUUUUAUUUUUCAGGAAGAAUGUGAGGAUUUGCGACAAAGGGUGGAACAUGGUAGACUAGGGAGACCUACUGUUGUGAGUGUUUCUUGAUUAUGAACUUGGUGUCACAAGUAUACACUUUUUAACAGCUUGAAAAUUUUCCAAAACUAUAAACCAAUUUAAGCCAAUUUGUCAAUUACUUUUUAGAUUAACUGUUAACAUGUAGACAUAACUGUUGCAUGAUUUUUUCCCUCUAACUGACAGGUGGAUUUCAAGGAAAAGGCCACAAGUCUCCAUGAGGUUAUAACAAAACAUGUAUGUACCCCCUUAAUCAUCUAGAGAAAUAGGAGUUGAAUAGUAAAAGGGACCACUCAUCUCAUGAGAGACUGGAUAUAUGCAAUAAAACACCCAAAAAAGAAAAUUAUGGUGAAGAAAAGUGACUUGAAACUGCAUUCAACAAGCAAAAGAGGUGGUCUCACUCAGAUACUUUAUUGUGAGCUUUGAAAUUAUAUACUUGACCUGUAAUACUUUUUCUGCUUAAUGUCAAUUUAGACUGACAAUAUGCUUCCAAAGAUUUUUCAAUGUUUCACACAAAAAAAAAAAAAAAAAAAUCUCCUUUCGUGGACAAUUUUGCUUAAAUUAUUUUUUUUUUUUAAGAUCUUUUCUUGUGGGAUUUCGAGAAUUUUAGUUUCUGAUCUUUCUUCCUCUUCCUUCUUUUCCACCUGGAAUCAGGGUUAAUGGACCAGCUCAUGUUAUUUUAGACUCUCUGUUUCCUUACAAUUUUAAAUCCUUCUUUAAUCUCUUAUUUGUUUUGUUGUGUGCUGACUGCAUGUUUAUCUCCUUCUGACUUUGCUUUCCUUUCCAAAAUCCGCUAUACCCAAGUGGAUUGUGAAAGAGCUGGCUCGAUUGCAAAAAUGUAUUGAUCAGGCAAAUGAGAAGGGAUGGAGAAGAGAAUAUCCUUUGAUAUUGUAUUAUAUCACACAAAUUGAACUUGGUAACCUUUUCUGAGAGCAUUUGAAUGGUUCAAUAAAAUUAAAAUGUCAACAAUGCAUGUCUGUACACAUUAUCAGAUGUGGGAAGCUUUUCCAAGCAACUCAAAAACUUUUUUAUCAUUACCUUGUUCUGCCAUUUACUCCAUCUAGAACUCAUUGAGACAAAAUUAUCAUAAAUUCGCAAAAACCUGAAAGCCCAAAAAUCUUUAAUGGAAAUGAUGAUGCUAUUUUCUUAUCAACUGGUGAGUCUUAUUUCAUAUUUGUGUGCCAUGGAUUCUUUGUAACAUCAAACUUAUCUUAGAGAUUUCUUGUUUCUUUCUGUGGUGUCACGCCACAUAUGCUUAUACAUCAAAUUUUUGUGACCAAUCUCAUAGAAAAUGAUAAGUGAUGUUACCCUUAACUUCAUUCUUGGGUACGUUUUCUGAGUACAUGGAAAGGUUGAAGCUGCUUCAGACACCAUCAGAACAAGCACGGUUGUCAGACGAGGUUCCAGAAAUAAUUGCAGAUGAAGCAGAAAUUGAACCUGCUGACAAGGACUUGAACAGGAAGGAUGAGAAGGAAAACAAUACCUCACCAAAAUCAGAAAUCAGAGAGUUGUCGAGGCCCUCUACAAAAAUUUCACGAGACAAUGGGAUCUCUUCCAGCUCGAAUGAUGGAGCAGAUUUUACAGGUCAGUUACAGUGAACCAGAGUUUUAAUUUUUUUUUUCUUUCCCUUCCAUAUGCUUCAUGAUUAGUAAUAUGAUAGGGAGAUGAACAUGAAAAAGAAAUGUUUCUAGAUUCUAAUAUCAAAACUUAGAAGUUCUUGUAUCUUUAGGCCUUAAUAAAUUCUAGUGUGCUGAAAUAUUUUGUUUUUUCUUCUAUUCAACAAGGCAAAUCCCAGGUUGUUCUUCCAGAAACACAACAUCAGCCUGGUAAUUCUAGUUCUGGAGAAAAGAAAGUUAAACCAGCGGACAUUGAGAAUGAAGAGAUGAAGAACAAACAAAUUGCACCAGCCAUAGAGGUAAUUCAGUUAAGUGAUGAUGAGGAGGAAGAUAAGAGCGUUGCAUUAAGCAAGCAAACACCAGAAGAUCUAGAUUCUCGUAUAUGGCACAUUGUAAGUCCACAUGGUAUCAAAAAGGACCAUUGCUCAAUGAGUUUGCUUAAAGAAUGGAGUGAUAUUUGUCCAGUAUCUUUGAAAUUCAAGGUUUGGAAGACUGGCCAGAGCCCUGAAGAAGCGGUUUCUCUGGCUGAUGUUAUUCAUCAGUUUUUUCCAGUUUAAGUGAACAAAAGUUUAGCGUUGUCCAAAUCUGCCUCAUACAGAAAACCAUAGAGAUAUAGCAAAGCUUUGUACAAAAUCCUUAUAGAGUUUUAAAGCGCAGCUUAUUCUACGAGUCGGUACAAACAGAUUACUUUAUUCAGAAGGAACCAAUGCAAAUGAAAUUUAUAACUCAAUUAAUAAUGACUACUUGCAAUCGUACAAAUAGAUUAGUUGAAAUUUAUGACAUUUUAAGAAGCUUUCUACUGGACUAAUCUGAUUAUUUUUCCAACCUAGAAAAAAAUGGACAGAUAAAGCAUCUUACAUGAUAUGCAAAUAUGCAAUGACCUAAUCCCUCUCAAUUUUACAAAAUGAUAUAGAGUCUAAAUUUAUAAUCCAGCAAGAAUUUUGACCUGUUAACCACUUCAUUCGUAGAGUUCACACAAAAUUCUUCUCCUCUGGACUUCCCUCAGCAGCUUCUCUCCUUAAUGCUUGAAGCCUUUCUCUAAGUUUCUUACUCUGUUCAAAAUUUGCCUUCCGCUUCACAGCUUUCUGAGGAAAAAGUUCAAAAUCUAAUUUCAAUUUCUGAAUAUAUAUAUAUUUUAAAGUAAAAAAAGGAGACAAGCAGAACAAUAACUCACUUCCUCGCGAAAACACCGAUCAAGCUUUAUUUUAAGGUCUGUGCAUUCACCAAAGAAUUUUCCUAUAGGAUGGUCCAAAUGACACUUCUGGAACUGUUCAAUAAUCUGCAAAAUAUUCAUGCUGCUUGAUUUACAAAAUGAAAGCUUUGAACAUCAAAGUACUUCCAAAUCUAAAUAUAGCAAAAAUAAAUAGCAUAAGUUAUAUUUGACUUCUCUUCUCUUGAUAAAGCAUCAAUAACUUAGGAGGGUUAAGAUCUCCAUAAUAUACUACAACUUUACGCCUGCCAGUUCAAGCUCAGGCUGACAAAUCCUUUAGGACCAAAUACUGUAAAAUACAAAUUGAUUUUAAGGAUAGCGUUUGAACAUCUCAUGCAUAAGGUUUGAUUUAAAAGUGGCAUUCGAUCCAUGUCUUACAGUGGCAACCAGAUAAAAAAAAAAUGAAGAGAUAAUAUCCAUGCUUUUGGCAUAGAUGAGAUAGUAUCCCAAAUAAAAACUCAACCUAACUUUACAAGCACAUAGCAGGGGUGAAUGCACUGGUGUCUAUCAAACCCAAGUUUAUGGAAUUUUUAUUUUUCUCCUUCAGAAUUCAUUUGUCAAAAGAGAAUUCACUUUUCCUCCCCAAAAAUGUCCUUCAUCGAACAAAGUUGUCAUCUGUAAUCUAACAACAAUUUGUUCCACUUAUCACCACCAUCGCUGAACCCAUGCCAACAAAUCUACAAAGUUAUAACUGAUAAAUCCAAUACCAAAACCAUCUGAUAAAAUAGAUUUUCCUAUUGGCACCAAGUAGUUUGUGGAAAAUGAAUCAUAAUAAGAAACAAAAGGCACAAGGCAAACUCACCUCAGCACACAUUGGGUGCCUAUGCAAUGUCAAAGGUGGAUGCAUUUUGCUGCAAGAAUCCAACCCUGAAAAAAGGGUUAAUAUUAAUAGAUACUAAGCAAUCAGAAUCAAAUUCUCCUAGAAAAAAGAUAAGAAUAAAAUACUCAGACCAUAAGCAGUUUCACCUUAGCAAAUCCUAAAUUACCAUAUUAUUAGACUUAAAAGAUUAGCAUAUUACUGAAAUUGGAUAAAACAAACUAGAAGGUAAAAAUAAAAUAAAAUUAAGAUGAUCUGCAUAGAGAAAUUCCUCAAGCAAUGGAAGAAAACGGAUUACUCAUCGAACCCAAAAAUACCAAUAUGGAUAUAAAUAAAUACACCCAUGAACAUGUAUAAAGCGCUAUGCUCACAUAUUUUUCACGAGUAUAUGAAGAAAUACAUAAAUAAAGAGUACCCAGAUCAAAAGGACGGCAAAUAAGCCGAGUUGAGAGUCAUAAAGAAUCCAAUUCAGUUGGGUGAAAAUUGAUGAAAUUGAGAAAUUUGUUAAAACGCACCGAUUUUAGUUCGUACCGGUCUUCCCUCUGGAAGUAGACAAGUAGUAGCUCCCGCAGGUGGAACCGUGGAGGCAGAUAGAGAAACUUCAGCCGCUAGUUUUUGCUAUAAACAGUUCAUAAACGACAGCAUUUCAUUUUCUAGCAAUGCAAUAAGACGACAGUCGUUUAUGCUUUUUAAGAUUUCUUCCGUUUCACGAGUUUUCUUUUUCUUUUUCUUUUUCUUUUUCUUUUUCUUUUUCUUUUUCUUUUUCUUUUUCUUUUUCUUUUUCUUUUUCUUUUUCUUUUUCUUUUUCUUUUUCUUUUUCUUUUUCUUUUUCUUUUUCUUUUUCUUUUUCUUUUUCUUUUAAGCAUGAAGAAAAUGAAAAUCUCAUAUAUGUUAAUAUACGGGCCUUCAAAUAUGUUAUUUAAAUUGGUGUGCCAUUUUCCGAACCCUGUAAAAAGAUCAUAUUUUGGUUUAAACAAGAAAGCAAGAGCAUAAGGAUUUGCAGGCAACAUAAUCUUUUCUUUUUCUAUAUAAACGUAUUUGUACACUACAGCAAUUUCUCAUGAACUCCGAUAAGAACAGGCGUGAAAAUGCUGUCAGGGAAAAUACAACACCAUGUAUGAUCAUAUGAUUGCAUGAACAAGAGCUACAAAAACUUUCAUGCAGAAUUUCAACCCACAAAAUAGUAUAAUUCAUCUACUGAUCGCUUUACAAAUACAGAGAAUUCUAACUGAUCAAGAUAUUUUCUUUGGGCUAGAAAUUUCUAUGAAUGGAUGUGAUAUCUCUCAUCCCAUGCGAUGGAACUGGUUGCUCUUUGAUGCGCGACAAAAGGAUGGAAACUUGCUCGGUGGCAAUCUCCAGCCUUUCUUUUGACUUUGCAGCUUCAUUUACUAGAGUUGAUACCAUAUUCUGCAAUAACUGCAUUCUCUCUCCAUGAUCAUUUGGAGAAGUGUGAGGAAGCUUGGCAGGAGAUGUGCUAAUCCGCCGCCAACGGAUAGGGAGAUAUCUUUCUGGAAUCUGAAAACAAUUUCCUGUGGAGAGAACUCGAAGAGCAUGCCGACAUAGAAUUCCAGAGAACUCAAACUGAUGGCAGCUGCAACUAAUGAUGCCCUCCCUAGGAACCCAAUAUACUUUUCGGCCUCCAUCAAGCUUCGUGUGGUGUCUCACUAGAAAGCCAUCUUCCAUUUGGAAUGAUGCAUAAUGGGCUGCCAAAACAAGUUGUUCUUGGAGCUUAGAGAAGGCAUACGGUGUAAGGACUGAGAGAGCAUGUGAUUCCAUCGGUGCCCCAGUCUUUAGGCAUAUAUUUUGGAGAUUCUGCUGCAUUAUUUGCUGUUCAGCAGCUUGAUCUCUAAAAUCCACAGCGACAGCAACCUGCUUAUGCAAUGCGAAAUCAAAAAUAUAAAAAAGUUUUUCCAAAAAUAAAUUCUAUCAGCACCAAAAUAAUGAAAGGUGGAAAAAACGUAGACUACUUUCUCAACCACCUGGUACCUCUAAAUCAUUAUCCCCAUCAGGAAAUAAGGAAAAAAGAUACAGAUAAGCAUGGAUUCACAAUUGAAACUACAACGUGAACAGUUAAAAAAACAAAGACAGUUAUUUUGAUUUGGAAUGUGCUCAAAGAGGACAUGCAAAUCUGUACUUGCUUACAGGUUGAAACCCAUCAAUCAAGCAAAAAUUUCAUGCUUUCCUAGAUUAUUCAGGAGAGAAUGGAAUCUUGAGUGGGUUCAAGCAAACCCAAAAAUCUUGAUAGUUAGGCUUGGUUACAAGAAAUUGUGACAUUUCUUAAUUGGCCACAAAUUGGGGUGGCACCACAACCCAACCCCACGCCAGAUUGGUAACACACUGCUUUUUACAAUUUACAUAAACCAUGACAUAAUCACAUCUAGCUUAUAGAAAGAAAAACAACAGUUCUAUACAAAUUUGAAGUCAAAACCAAGGAACCUGAGCUUGUGGUCAUUGCCUUUGUAAGCUUGAUCUUAUCACAUCAUUGACAAUAAUUUACCUUUUCAUAGUUCACAGAUACAUUUCAUCAGGUUGUCUAUAAACAAAUCACAACCCCAUAGUGUUAUGUGGCAAAAACUAUAUAAACCAACGGCUUUGAAGUCAUGACUAUAGGAUUGAGGUAAAAUUUUGGCAUUUUAAACUAGAUGGGAAAUUCAAUCCAACUCCCAGUGAUUCCAUAUGAAUAGCAAGAGGCUUACUUGUUCCACAAAAUGUGCAAGCCGUGUUUGUGCGCUCAGAAACCGUUGGAUGAAAGCAUUGAUUGACUUUGAAUAACCUGCUGCUGUCAUUCCUGCAAAGAAAUGGCUUCUCAAGUAUGGUAAUGCCCAAAGCAUGCGCAAGGCAUACAAGUUGGCUAUGUGUCUGUUAUUGUGCAGCCCAAAAGAAUUAACCAUGUCCCUCCAACCCAGUUCAAAAUCCUCAAUUGACUCCAGGUUGUAGAGUCGAUGAAAAUCUGCCUUCCACUCAUUAUAACGUUCUCCCAAAACAGCAUUAAACCAGGAUGGAAACUUCGCCACAAUCAUCCAUAUGCAAAGUGCAUGUUUCGUUGUUGGCAUCUCCAUAGCUAUUGCUUCUUUGAGGCACAUAUUCUGGUCAGUUAAAAUUGUUUGUGGAGCCUUCCCAUUCAUGAAGCCUAGGAAUGCCUGUCAUAUAAACAACAUAACAAGAAAACAUCGCAGUAAAUUUCAGAAGCGAGUUAUAGGUGAGUGUGACAGAAUAUGUGCACAUGUGAUUGCAUGUAUCCAAUGAUCAUCAUCAAUUAUGAAGCCACCAUUCACAGUUUAAUUAAAGAUAUGGUGUAAUCCAAAAAGUCAAAUGACAGCAACGCCAGACUUGUUGCAGAACACAAACCAGAGGCUUAGGGUCAAAGCAAACAUAACAAAUAGAACAAACAUUGCAACUGGUUGUUCAUCCCCACUCACAACAUUCCUAAGUUUGAACAUAAGUUAUAGAGAAUCCCCAAACUAUUCCACAUCUAUACAACAUAGACAGCAUAUUUUGUAGUAUAAACAUCUCACUAGCCAUUAUUUCUGAUCCACCACGUUAACCAUCUCCUGCAUAUUAUCCUAUUAAUUUCUAUUAAUCAGUUUCAGAAUCUACAGUUCCCUUCCUCUCUCCCUUUCUUUUCUUUUUUUUUUUUUUUUUUUUUUCCCCUAGAUGGAAGGAUAUGGUCAACAAAUUGGAGCAAAUAAACAUAAAGAUCAGUAUGUGCAAUAUAAAAUGUAAAGGGAGAUUACUUCUCAUUCUAUUACCUUCAGUGCCCAUGAUAAUGACCUCAAAUUUUCCUCUCGUAAGAGCACGCAACCAAAGAAACAUGGCAUACCAUAAUUAUUCACUCCAACCCAUAUCCCAAGGGGCAUGUCAAAUGCUGUCAAGCGAUGUGUUGUAUCAAAUACCACUGCAUCACCAAAGAUCUCAUAUGACUGGAUGGAUGACGUGUAUGACCAAGCUAUGUUCUCUAACCUAUUGUUCGAGUCAAGUGUGUAUUCAAAUUUAAAGUUGGGGUCCUUCUCUUUUAUGUUUCUGCACAUUCUUAAUAAGUCUAUGCUCUCAUCUUCUGGAUCUAAUUUCCUGAAGGACUGGAGUAGAUUCCUCACAUCCUUCUCUGUAAAUGGUAAAUAUCCAGGCUCCACACAUUUUUCAAGCUCCAUAAGCCUCAUCAUUUGCUGAACUGAAAUUCCCGUUUUGGCAAACAUGAGGAUUCUGCUUUUAUCUGUAUCUGAUAUGGUUCGAUAUGCAGGAAGAAAACGGACUUGAUUUGGUUCUAGGAGUUCAUGAUUGUGGUGGUUUGCAAAACCUGUGACACGCCAUUCUGGUGUCCCUAACUCCGUGGUCUUGCUUAUCCUCAUAUAUGCUUGACAACCACAUCGGGAGGAUUUUCUAUUCCUUUGAGGUUUACUUUCAUUUGAGGUUUUUGCAGGGGUGUUACCAGCACGAUGGCAGACAAAAUAACGUCUAGUGAGUCCUUUCCCAACCCCAUCUUUUCCUUCUGUGCGGUGACGGCGGAUUGAGAACCCACAUCGCCUGGCAAAUUCUGUAUAGAAUUCAUAAGCUGCAUCAUGAGUAGCAAAUCUCUGCCCAAUGUAUGGAAUUGCAUCAUUAGUAGUUUCCAGUGAAAGUCUGGUUUCAUCAGGUGAUUCCUCUGUGCUACUUGUAUCAUCCAAAGACAGAGAUCGCUGGUCUGACGGUUCAUCAUAAACCAUGAGCAUAUGUCCAGCCUCUUCAGACAUCAUGUACCUCAUUAAUACAAGUAAAAGGUCGGCUCAAAACCCUGUGUACAAUACACCAACAAAAUAAGCAAACAAAAUAAGCAACCUAUUUCAAUUCCUUCAGUGAAGUAAAUGCACUGUAGAAUGACAUAUUUCUCUAAGUAUGCAUAUUAAUGCUGCUAGCAAAAAAAGGUAAAUUCAUAACGAUGCUUGUAAUAGCAACGAAUAAGGUUGUUAGAAUAAUCUCAUCUUCAGCAGCUAACAAUAUCAAUGUUACUAUUAUAACCCAUUUCAACUAAUAUUGCAUGAUCAUACUUUUGUGAAUGAUAAAACAACUAGACAGUAAAAUCCACUACAUUACUUUCUGAAGUUUAGAUAAAUACAUGUUUCACAAUAUCCAACAUGACGAGUCAAAUGUGACCUUGUUCAACCAAGAAGCCCAUAAAUAACAACUAAUAAACAACAAUGCUAUUCUACCAAUUACAUCUUGGAUUUUCUGAUUUCAGAAUUUUCAUGUUCACUGAUUGUAGACGCUUGAGGUCAAAUUGGAACUUAUGGUCCUGAAAGCAAAAUGAGUUUUUGUCCUUUCACCGUUUUGGGAGGAAUGCAUGAACAGAAAGCAUUCACUAAAUAACAAAUUGAAUGCACUUACUGAGUGAUUAUAUAAUGUGGGUUACUUUUCCUCUCAGUUUUCAUUAAUAUUGUAAAAUUCAGUUGGUCUUCCUACGGGCUGGGAUUCUUUUGCCAUGUCAUAGUUCUCAAUUGCAUUUGAUGCAUCUGAAUUCUCUCGCCACAUCCUUGGAAAAGAAAGUGAAAAAUAAAAGGACAGUGGCAUGUAAUUGAAGGAACCUAAUUUAUGCAACUAGAAUUAUUCAACUCUUCUGACAAUUUUUCUUCUUCUACCAGAAUAUUUAAGGGCUUGAUUAGUUGUGGAAAACCUGAUUGCAUUUUCCAGUUUUGUUCUCCAUUUUUCAGUUUCCUGAUUCUCUAUACUCCAAAAUGAUAACCGGAAAACAUGUUUAUUUAUUCAAUUUUCUAUUCCAUGUUCGCUUUGUAAGAUUGUAAUUCACAGUUUUAUAUUAAAUAAUUAUUAUUUCAUUAAAAACAAAAAAUUAUUCAAAAGUAAAUAUAAAAUAAUCCUAUGGUCUCAAUCUAUAAUAACAUUUCAAAUAGAAAAUACUAUAGCAAUUAUCAUUAAGCUAUUUUACCAUGUCUUCCAAUUGGCAAAAGAACUCUUUAGUUGGAGGGAAAUGUAAAAGCCAGCAUAAAUUUGCAAAAAUACGAAAUCUGAUUUCUAAUUUUGCAUUUGGAAAAUUUUCACUACAUACUCCGUUUCUAAAUUUUCUUGGUAUAAUUUUCUGGGGAACAAACCUUGUUUUCCACAACUACACAAGGCCUAAGUUUCUCGCAAAUAAAUGAUUUUCAAGGACGUGAAAAGUAAGCACAUUGCAACUCAGCCAUUCAAAUAGCAGAACUCAUAUCAGUUCAGAAGCUAACGAUUCAAUCUCUGACAUAAAAAUCAAACUCAACAAGAAUCAUCGUGAAAAAAUCAACCGAUUCAAUGCUUAAUCAAAGAAGUAUACAUUAAAUUUCCCCCACAUUUUUAUAAUUCAAACGGAAAAAUUCUGAUGAAAUGUAAAUCAAAAAAAAAAAAUUUCUUUCGCUCCCUUCGUUAUAUCAAUCAAAAUUUAUAGACGCCCAAUUCAUAAAAUAUAAUAUAUAAAGAGGGAAAAUAUAAGAAAGAGGAAGAGAAAAGUACCGAUCAAUCAAGGAUCCAUUGGUGUAAUGGUAAACUACUGGGAAAUUUUGACGAGACCUGCCCUAAUUUGCGCAGGGUGGUGAAGGAGACCAUUGCGCACCUUUUGUUAUCGUACGCUUUACUAGUUUCCAAAUACUGUUUAAAAUUAGAACGACGCCGUUUACUGUUUCUUCAGAAUUAUGCGUUUAAUUCGCGCGUUAAAGAUAAUAAUCGGAUAACAACGAACAACCAGCACGAGGUAAAUGGAAAGUCUCACUGAUCAAUCUAUAUCAAUAUAAUUGUUUGUAAAAUAAAUCAACAAUCAGAGUGGCGCAGCGGAAGCGUGGUGGGCCCAUAACCCACAGGUCCCAGGAUCGAAACCUGGCUCUGAUAAGAGUAGCUUCCGAAGUUUUUGCCUCGUUUUUUCCAAUAUUCAUUUAUUUUAUUUGAGAUAAUCAAUUCUCAAUUCGGUUUGAUGCAUAAUUUCUUAUUAAUUUUCAAGAUAUAUAAAUUUAGAUUAAUAAAAGUUAAUCAUUUUUUUUCAAAUGUCUCAAAUGCUAAUAAAUCUUAACUUUUUUUAUCAAUUUUUAUGGUCCGAUAUUUUUUUUUUUAAUGGCAAUACUACAAAAACAUAGAAAAAUUAGAAACAAUUUUUUACUCCAGAAAAAAAAAAUUUUGACCAGUUUGAUAAUUUAUAAUUAUAAAUCCUUUUAACUUUUGUCAGUCACAUAUAUAUUAUAUGAUCUCUCUUAUCUAUUUCGAUUUAAUCAGUAUUUACCGGUACAUAUCUAUAUAAACGUGUAAAGAACAAAAUAAUAAUUUUUGAAUUAUUCUUAGAAAAAUAAAGUAAAAUUGUCUAAAAAUUAUACCAAAUUCAGUCGAUUUAGUUUAAUACUGUAUAUAAUUUGGUUUCAAUUUCAAUUUAAAAAAUAUAAUUAAUUUUUUAUUUUAUCAAUCAAAACCGACCUAUUGCAAACCCUAAAUUAAAUAAAACAAAUGAACAAUGGCCAUGAUAAAAGUUGUGCCCUGAUCGUGCUUGCUUGUAUGUGUAGGAUAUUUGAUUCAGUUGCCUGUCAAUAGCCAUUUGUAUAAUUUAAUUUCAAUUUUUAAUUUGUAAUUGACUCGUAUUUUUAAAUAAUUUUUUAAUUCAAUUUAAUGAAACUGAGGUGAUUUGAACAUUUUAUAAAACGUUGUCUUAACCUCCAAAAAAUAGUUCAAAUACUAUAUUAAUGAACAUCAUAAAAAGUAGCAUUUAGCAUUUUACUUAAAAAAGUUGUUGUCGAAUAUGGUUUACACAGCACGAAGUUCAAAAAAAUACUAUGAUUUUCCAUUCCUCGUAUAACUAACUGAAUUAUAACUAUUUCAGAUCAUAUAAUAAAUAUAAUUUAAAAAAUUGAAUGUAUAAACUCAAUUUCCAUGAUAAAAUGAAUGAGUGAAAAUUUCUUUUAGGAUUAAUAGAUUUUACACAUGAAUAAACAUCUGCGUGCAUCAAAUUUGCAAGUGCAUUAUUCAUCAAAUUAAUUAAUUUCAUAAAUAUUAUAAAAUUCAUUCAUGAAUAAGUAUAAAAUUUUGGAAUUAUUAAUUUUAUUAUUUACAAAAGCACCAGCUAACCUUAUACUAUCAAAUAACUAUAAUAAUACCAAAAAAAAUAAUAAUUACCUAUAUUAGUAAUUAUUAAUAUGAUUAUUUAGGUUAGCUUAUUUAAUACUCCAUAAUAUUUAAUUAAGCUGUAUACAACUAUAAAUGCCAAUAUAAUAUUCUCUUCUAUAGAGACUUGACAACUAACAAAAUUCUUCAUUUAUACUCUUCCCAAAUAUUAACAAACGUUUUUAAUUAUUUUAAAUGAGAAUCAACAAAAGAAAUGGGGCUUUCAGGUCAUGUUUCUAGUGGGACCACUAAAAGCCACCUGUAUCAAAAGGAAAGCGAGUUCUCAGUACUUUCUACUCCCGCCAAUCAUUCUCUCGCGUGUUUCCCACUUAUUUUAAAUUAUUUUUAAAAUAAUUAAACGUAUUUAAUAAUAAAAAAAUAAGUAUAGUCCCAUUGAUUUUCUCCUUUACAUAUAAAAGAAAAUAUUAUUUUAACUUAAAAAAAUUAUAAAUACAACUGAUUAUUAUAGAAUCUUAAUAAAUUUUUAACUAUAUUUUAUUAAUAUAUGUGAAAGUUAAACUAUUGCUUUUUUUAUGGAAUAAAAGAAUAUAUAGAAUUCUAAUAAAAUUUAUUCAUUCAUUUAUAGAUUAUUUAUUUGUAUAUUUACUCCUUUGUAUCAAUAAUUUUUACUUUCCAAAAAAAUUGCUUUUUUUAUUUGUAGAGAAGUUUAAUAGCCAAAAUAAAUUAGAAUUGUCUUCAAAAGUAUAAAAUGAUUUCGAAUUUUAUUCAUUUAAUAUUAUAAUUAAUUUUUCAAGAAUUAUUUUCUUAUAGAAUAUAUAAUACUAGUAAAGUUUUUGUUAAUUUAUACGUAUAUUUUCACAUUUUUUUAUAAUUGAAUAUUGAUCUUAUCUAUUCAUAUCUUUUUUAAAAAAGUUCCAUCAAUAAUGUAUCAGAAUCACCACUUUUUUUUUUUUUUACUCGAGAGAUUUUAAUGGUGAAAUUCAAAAUUUAAAUAAUAAAAUUUUGAUUAUGGGAAUUUGAAAAUAUUUAAUUUUAUAAUUGAGAAUUCAAUUAAAUUAAUAAAAAAUAUAAUUUUUAGAGAAUAUUCAUUUUAUAGAACAUUAAACCACUAGUUAACUAACCAAAUUUUUAUUCCUUUUUUUUUAAAAAAAGACCAAAUUUAUAGUUUAUCUCAUAAUUUUGUUUUUUGAACUUUUGGGUUCAUUUGUUUGGCUAUUCCUUUGCUAUAACGUCACCGUUUAGGGACCAACCCAUGAGGUUCCCUUCCUUUUUUCUCUUUUGACAUUCUCUCCUUUUCUUUGACCUUUAUAGCUUUGCUUUCUCUCAUCAACUUUCUCUUAUACACUUACGAUUCUUUGCUUUAUCCAAACACACAAGGCUUCUGUCUUAAGUUGAUUUAACUCUUAAAAAAAUAAAAAAUGUCCUUUUGCCCUUUCCUCUUCCUUUUGGCCUUUUAUGUUGUUAGUUGAUGAAUGCAUACUUUAUUUCUUUUACUUUUCAUCUCCAUUUCCAUUAUCUCUGCAAGAUGAAGUCUUUCAGUUGUGUAAGCUCUUUCUCUUUCUCUUUCUCUUUAUUGUAUAUGGGUUGGUUGGUUUGUGGGUAUGUUUGAGUUUUUCUUUUUGCUUUUGAAUUUUUCUUAAAGGAUUGUGCUUUAUUGUUUAUGAACUUGAUUAGCUGCUCCUGUCCUUUUUUUUUUUUUUUUUUUGUUUCUUAUCGUUGUAGAGUGAUUAAUGAUGGUUGUUUUAACUUUGCUUUAUCAUAAUUAUGGGGAUAACAAAGGAAGAAGGAAUUUUAUUUUACCUUUUCUCAGACUGAAACAUCAUUUCUCUGUUCUUCUGUUUGGCUGAUUAGAAAACAGAGGAAAACUGAAGUAAUUCGAAAAAAUUGGCUCUUUGAGUUUCUGUUUGUUUUUGGUUUCGAAAAGUGCGAGUCUGUUGUCUCCACCAGCAAGAGGGAGAGAGAGAGAGCAGAAACCAAAGGAAUUAAUUAUUUUUAAAAUCCUUCCUGCAUUUCUUUCGCCACUUCUGUAAGUGCUUAUAUUUUGUCAGUUUUUGGAUUCUUUUAAGGUCAUUUAUUGGAUUUUCUCUUUUUUUUUUUUUAAAAUGAAUAUUUUGCUGAAUUUUCAUUAAUUUGUGGCGUUGAGGGGUUUAUGGCUUAAAUUUAUAUAAAAAAAAUACUAAUUCAUAUAUUUUAAUGAAAAUAAAUUUCUAUAACUCAUAAGUUUUUGACAGUUUCAAGUUAGUGGGCAGUGCUUUUGCAAUGUAACUUUUGGAGUUUCUAAAUGCUUGAAUCUCGAGUUGAUAAAGUAGUCAUCUCCAAAGAUUGCGACUUUUUGGUUCAUUUGUGGAUUUAUUCAUAUGGGUCCUCAAUAGUUAAUAGCUUGCUGAAUGCGUUCUGGGUUGCGGUUUGAUAUCCGGACGACACAGUAAAAUCCAUAAGAUAUUAUUUUGAGUGUCUAUAUUGAUAGAUUUUCCUGUUUCCCUAGGAUAUGAUAUCAAAUGCAUUAAUUGCAUGUAGAAGAGUCCUUGUAAUUUUUGGACAUUUUUUUGCUUAUCUUUGCAUUUCCCCCCUGCUUAUGUUUCCUUUGUGGCCAUUCACAUUUCGAUCUCCUUGCUGUGCAAAUAACACGUGAUUAUAAAUUUUCAGGUUUCUGCACCAUCGGAUCCUAAGAGCAGAUCAUGCCUUUGGACUCUCUUCUGUUUGGCUUCCUUAAUUUGCACUGUUUACUUCAUUAGCAGUUCAUUCUUUGGAAAGGAAUAUAAAGAAGUAUGUAUCUGGUUUUUUCGAUCCCUUAGUUUUGAAAUUCGCUUUUGCUGAACUGGAUGUUAUAGAUGUUGUUUUUUUGGUGGACUUGGAUCUUUUGGCUUGACAUGACAAUUUUUUGUUCAUGUAAGAGAAUCUUAAUUUGCUUAUGUUACUAAAAUAAAAGAAAAUUGUGGUAGUAGUUUUAUUCCUGAAAUUUUUAGUUUUUAUUUCAGAUUUCAGACCUUUGUUUUUGUCAGAAACUGUGUACUGAUGUUAUUGAUUGUAAAGUUGAACUAUAAAUGAAAUGAAAUUGUAGAGUAUUCAAAUAAAAAAUAGAGCUUUGAAAUUGUAAUUCCAUUCCUAAGGUUUAAAGAACUUGAUCUUGUAGAAAUUUGAAACACCUUGAAUUUUUUCCCAUUUUGUAUAAAGAGCAACCAAAAUGCAAACUCUUAGCACUUGGCAGCAACUGAUGUAGCCUUAGUUGUAGACCACCAACAACUAUUCUAUAAUGAUUUUGUGCUGGAAAUUAUUCGUGCAGGGCUUAAAAGGAUGGCAAGUUAUUGAGCCAAUGCAGAAUAUAAAAUCUAAUAAAUGCAAGGUUUGCUCUUUUACUAAAAAUUUAAUGUGAAAAAUACAUUGGAGCACGGUCAGUAAAUUCAUGUAUAUUUUUGUUUCUGAUCUCCAAUUUAUUCUGCUUAGGAUCAUUGCAGGCCUUCUGGAAGCGAGUCAUUGCCCCAAGGAAUUGUCAGAAAAACGUCGGACUUCGAAAUGCGGUCCCUAUGGAACAAUUCUGUGGAAGAUGUGAGUAUAGGUGUCAUCAUGGUACAUAACCCAUGAUAUAAGGAACUUGAAUUGCAUGAGAUAAUCUUUUGAUUUCAUAUGAUUUUAUGGCACUUGAAUUGGGUCCUUAUUACUGAAGGACUAUGUAUUUGCUUUUUUCCUGCUAGAUGAUCCAUGUAUAGCUUCUAGGACAUUUAUAGUUUCUUGCUUGAAAUUCUCUCUCUUAACCCUUAUACAGUUCUCUCUGGGUGCUAGAACAAGCCAAAGCCUUCAAAAAGCUUAUUAGCUCUUGCAGUUGGAAUUAAGCAAAAACAAGUAGUGGACCAAAUUGUUAAGAAGGUGGUAGUCAAUCCUUGCCAACUUUUAGGCUUUGAAAAUUUUCCAAUUAUAUUUUUUUAACAGAAUUUUGUCACUAUAAUUGUGUCUGAAAUUUAUUAUUGUCUUGCAGUUUCCUUUGAGUGAUUUUGUUGUGAUGCUUUUCCAUUAUGAUGGAAAUGUGGAUGGAUGGCGGGAGCUGCCAUGGAGUGACCAUGCUAUUCAUGUAUCUGCAGUGAAUCAAACAAAAUGGUAAGUUUGACCAACCAAAAAUGAUUAUUGUUAGAUUCUUGGUUUUCACAGUACCAGCACAUUUAUGUUUUUCUGUGUUCAAGGGGCACAGAUCAAGAUUUGCACAGUUGUAAUGUUCUUGUGGUUUGUACAAGCUUAUGUUAAUUUUAUCCUAAUAUCAAAGGAACAUUUCUUUGAUUGGCUAGGUGGUUUGCAAAACGGUUCCUGCACCCAGAUAUAGUUGCCGAGUAUACUUAUAUAUUUCUUUGGGAUGAAGACAUUGGAGUUGAGAAUUUUAAUCCAAGACGGUAUGCAUGUUUUGCGAUUCUGAAAUAGUACUGCUUUUCAAUGUUUGUAGUACUACUUCAUGUAGCCCAAUAACUCCUUGCCAGAUAUCUGUCUAUCGUCAAGGACGAGGGACUAGAAAUAUCACAACCAGCCCUUGAUCCUGCCAAGUCGGCGGUGUAUCAUCCAAUUACUGCACGUCAACCAAAAUCAAGGGUCCACAGGUCAGUGUGAUUUACUGUUUGAAAUUCUACAAGCUUUGGAGACGUCAUCAAUUUCACUAACAAUAUUUUCUUCUCUAGACGAAAGAUAUUGUAAAUGAAUUUUGCAAUUGAAGGGGAUGUGACUAUUUUAAUUAAAUUGUUUUGGCCUCUUUAUUUGCUUGGAUUUUUGAUAUGUUUUAUUUGUUACUUGUUUGCUUCUAGGACCUUCAUGCUUUCACAACUGAUGAGUUAAAAAGUACAAGAGUUUAACAAAAUUUCAAUUACGCCUAAUUAUGUUUAUGGUGGCUGGUUUUCAGUAUUAUCCGAGUUUCACAUUCUGUGAAUUAUUGCUAAACUUGAACUUCUUCUUCUUUUCUUCUUCACAUUUGUUAUUUUCCACCUCAAUAUAUAAUUUAGGUUUCCUUCUGAGAGAGUUAAGGACAAUAACUCUUCUUUUUUGUGCAAAAUGGAGAGUUCAUGAAACUUGUGCUUGCGUAGACCAUUUUAAAUUUAAAAUACUGCCCAUUAAAAAAUGUGAAUUUUCAAUCAAAACUUUAUAUGUGAGUAUUUUAAUAAAAACUUUUCAUAAAGUAACUGAGGCACGAUAAUUGGUCUGGUUCAAAUUUGUCUUAGAUACAGAAAAGCAUGGACCCAAUUGUGCUUUUAGUGAGAAAGUUCUUUUUUUUUUUUUUUUUUUUUUUUUUAACAUAAAGAUGGUAUAUUUUUUCUGCACAUGUGCUUGUGAUUUUUAUUUAUUUAUUCUGCAAAUUAAUUAUGCACCCUUACAGAUUUAUCUUUUCUGAAUAAAGAAAAACUUUUGGACUAAGUUAUAUUUGAGUUUGACUAGUUAUUACUUUUUAACAGAAGGAUGUAUAAAUUUAAAGGCAGUGGAAGGUGUUAUGACAACAGCACUUCUCCUCCUUGCAUAGGGUAAUGCUGACCAACACUGUAUUGUAAUUUUGAUUAUGAAAUUAUUGUAUAGCAUUUCUAUUUUAUUAGUUUGAAAAGAGAAGGUUUGUAUUACUGAAAGUAAAGCCUUACAAUGCAGUUGGGUGGAAAUGAUGGCACCUGUCUUCUCAAGGGCAGCCUGGCGAUGUGUUUGGUACAUGAUCCAGGUAUAGUUUGUGUCUGACCAAAGUUUUUGACAUUGGAAUCCGAUGGGUGGUACUCGCAUUUGAGCAUUUUCAAGAUCAUUAAUCAGUACUUAGCCACCUAUAUUAUAUUAGAAACUCAACCACAAUGUGAUACUAAUGUGUGAUUACUGCUACAUGGCAGCAUUCUGUUAAAUAAUGAUUUGGAAAACUUCCUUUUCCUGUUAAACUUACAUUUCUUGUAGUUUGGUGCUCGACUAUAUAAUUUAUAAUGAAUCAAAUAUCUCACUUACUUGGUAAAUAGAGCCUAUUUGCACUAUCAUCUACACAUAAUGUCUGCAUUCGCAAUAAUCUUUAUCUAAAGAUCUUUCACCUGUACAGAAUGACUUGAUCCAUGCAUGGGGCCUGGAUUUGCAGCUUGGUUAUUGUGCACAGGUGAACUUCCACAUCCUGUCAAUUUCCUUUUAUAAUUCCCUUAACCAUACAUGUAAUACUCUAUCUUUUUGUAGGGUGAUCGAACGAAAAAUGUUGGUGUGGUUGAUUCCCAGUACAUAGUUCAUAUGGGUCUUUCAACUCUUGGUGUCUUCAAUGGAACUGAGGUCAGUCCUUGUAUUGAAUUGGCAGCAGAAACAAUUGCAUAACUGUGCUAUGGCUUAGCUAAAAGUUUUUUUGUCAACCAAGUCAAAUUCUUUCACAUUCUUAUUGAAUAUCAAAACAUUAGAAAAUUUUUGGUCUGUUCAUCUCAGUAUGUUAUUGGCUCAUUUGUGCAGUCAAAUUCUCAUUCCGAUAUGCAAAUUCAUAUUUCCAGUGAGAAGAACUCGAACUUAAGUUACUCAACAAUACACGCAUACAUACAUACAUGUAUACACACACACACACACGAGCAUUGUGUUAGACUAUUCUUUAUCAAUAAAUAAUAAAUGUUCAUCUCAUCGGUAUUGCAGGGACCUCUGCAGAGCCACAUAGCUGAUAAAAGAGUUGAGGUAUGUUGGUUUGAUUAUUCUUAUUUUCUUCUACAAAUAAGCUAUGUUCUUGUUUGGUACAAACUGUAGAAUAGAACCCACUAUUUACAGUCUCUGCAUUGGACCAUAUCAGCUCAUUUGGACUUACUUGUAACUUGUUUAUUGAAUUAUUGUUAUUAACUGAGUGAUGGUUAUACAGGUACGAAGACAGUCCUCUGAAGAAAUGCAGAUAUUCCGGAAGAGAUGGAAGAAUGCUGUAAAGGAAGACAAAUGUUGGAUUGAUCCAUUUCAACCACCAGCAAACCAAACUAGUAAUUGAAUUUAUUGUUAUUAUUUUUUCAUCAAGGCCUUCAACUGGGCAUCAGAUGGAAGUUGGUGGUCAAAUUCAUUGACAGCAACACAUAUUUAUACACACCAUCAAUACAGUUUUUAGGUGGCGAAAAUAUCUCAAAACAGGUUGAGACAUGUUCAUCAGUAGGGAAAUGGCAGACAUUCCUAAUGUAUGAAUAGUUUUCUUUUGUAAUUUUUUUUUUAAUUGUUGAUAUUUCUUUUGAAUGGUGUAAAUACAUUUUGAUGUUGAAAAUGUAAAUUGAUCUUUUUUUUUUUUUUUUUCCUUGUGGUGAAAUUUACUUCUUUCUCUAAAAUAGAUUACUUGUCGUUUCAAAUGUAUAGGACUAUAAAAUAAAAUACCACGAGGCCAAAUGCAAGAAAUCACCGAAUGUCUUUUGAUCGUUUGAUUAAUAACAUUAGCAUCCAAAGUGACUGUUUGAUUAACCUAUAAUUUGUUGUUUAUAUAUCGUUCAGUUUCUUGGAAGUCCAAAGUGAAGGUUGAAGCACAUCAUUAGCACUUCCAUGACCAAGCACAAAACCAAAUAUAUCCACUUCGAAAACCCAUGACAAGUCGUUCAUAGAACAGUAAAUAUUCGUUUCAUAAAGGACCGAUUUGACACGGCCGUAAUGAUAUGCUAAAUUGCAGCCAGCGAGAUGUCGUUUUGCAUAUUAAAAUGAAAAUGGCAGACAUUCCUAAUGUACGAAUAGUUUUCUUUUGUAAUCUUUUUUUAAUUGUUGAUAUUACUUUUGAAUGGUGUAAGUAUAUUUUGAUGUUGAAAAUGUAAAUUGAUCUUUUUUUUUUCUUGUGGUGAAGUUUACUUCUUUCUCGAAAAUAAACUACUUGUCGUUUCAAAUGUAUAGGACCAUAAAAUAAACUACCACGAGACCAAAUGCAAGAAAUCAUCGGAUGCCUUUUGAUCGUUUGAUUAAUAACAUUAGCAUCCAAAGUGACUGUUUGAUUAACCUACAAUUUGUCAUUUAUAUAUCGUUCAGUUUCUUGGAAGUCCAAAGUGAAGGUUGAAGCACAUCAUUAGCACUUCCAUGACCAAGCACAAACCAAAUAUAUCCACUUUGAAAACCCACGACAAAUCGUUCAUAAAACAGUAAAUAUUCGUUUCAUGAAGGACCGAUUUGACACGGCUGUAAUGAUAUGCUAAAUUGUAGUCAGCGAGAUGUCGUUUCGCAUAUUAAACUGAAAAUGGCAAACAUUUCUAAUGUAUGAAUAGUUUUCUUUUGUAAUUUUUUUUUAAUUGUUGAUAUUACUUUUGAAUGGGGUAAAUAUAUUUUGAUGUUGAAAAUGUAAAUUGAUCUUCUUUUUUUUUCUUGUGGUGAAGUUUACUUCUUUCUCGAAAAUAGACUACUUGUCGUUUCAAAUGUAUAGGACCAUAAAAUAAACUACCACGAUGCCAAAUGCAAGAAAUCACCGGAUGCCUUUUGAUCGUUUGAUUAAUAACAUUAGCAACCAAAGUGACUAUUUGAUUAACCUACAAUUUGUCAUUUAUAUAUAGUUCAGUUUCUUGGAAGUCCAAAGUGAAGGUUGAAGCACAUCAUUAGCACUUCCAUGACCAAGCACAAAAUCAAAUAUAUCCACUUCGAAAACCCACGACAAGUCGUUCACAGAACAGUAAAUAUUCGUUUCAUGAAGGACCGAUUUGACACGGCCGUAAUGAUAUGUUAAACUACAACCAGCGAGAUAUCGUUUCGCAUAUUAAACUGAAAAUGGUAGACAUUCCUAAUGUAUGAAUAGUUUUCUUUUGUAAUUUUUUUUUAAUUGUUGAUAUUACUUUUGAAUGCUGUAAAUAUAUUUUGAUGUUGAAAAUGUAAUUGAUCUUUUUUUUUUUUUCUUAUGGUGAAGUUUACUUCUUUCUCUAAAAUAGAUUACUCGUCGUUUCAAAUGUAUAGGACCAUAAAACAAACUACCACGAGGUCAAAUGCAAGAAAUCGCCGGACGUCUUUUGAUCGUUUGAUUAAUAUUAUUGGCAUUCAAAGUGACUGUUUUAUUAAUCUAAAAUUUGUCGUUUAUAUAUGGUUCAGUUUAUUGGAAGUCCAAAGUGAAGGUUGAAGCACAUCACUGGCGCUUCCAUGACCAAGCAUAAAACCAAAUAUAUCCACUUUGAAAACCCACGACAAGUCGUUUACAGAAUUUCGCAUAUUAAACUGAACUUAUUCCCAGUUCCACUUCCCUUAAAUCCUCUCUAGGGUUUAAGCUUUCUGUCGCUCUGCUUCUCCUUUCUCUACCUUCUCACACGAUCCAAAGAUGUCUGUCUACCGCCUUCUUCGCCGCUCCUCUGCCGCUACCACCACCUAUCAACCUCUAAUUAGAGCCCUCUACCACCUCACAGUCUCUCCAACUAAUACCACCUCCCAAACCUCUAACUCAAACUCUAUUUUCUCAUCCCCUCUCCUCCCCUCAUCUCGCACCUUCGCCUUCUCUUCAGCCGAGGAAGCAGCAGCGGAACGCAGAAGACGUAAGCGCCGCCUCCGCAUCGAACCUCCACUGCAUGCGCUUCAACGCAAUCCUUACCCUCCGCCUCGGGACCCUAACGCGCCUCGUCUCCCAGAUUCCACCAGCGCUUUAGUGGGCCCACGCCUUAAUCUCCACAAUCGAGUGCAAUCCCUAAUCCGUGCCUUCGAUCUCGAUAAUGCAUCUCUUCUCGCUCGUAACGCCGUUUACACCAGAACUCGCCCUACUGUCUUCACCUGUAAUGCGAUCAUCGCUGCUAUGUAUCGGGCAAAACGGUAUAAUGAUGCAAUUGCGUUGUUUAAGUAUUUUUUUGAACAGCAUGAUAUUGUUCCUAAUGUCGUUUCGUAUAAUAAUUUGAUUAACGCGCACUGCGAUGAAGGGAGAGUGGAUACUGCGCUUGAAAUUUAUAGGCAUAUAAUUGCUACUGCUCCGUUUGGUCCUUCUUCAGUUACGUAUAAGCAUUUGACUAAAGGGUUGAUUGAUGCUGGUAGAAUUGAGGAAGCAGUGGAUUUGUUGAGAGAAAUGUUGAAUAAAGGGCACGGGGCAGAUUCUUUGGUUUAUAAUAAUGUGAUUAAAGGGUUUUUAGAUUUGGGGAAUUUGGAGAAGGCAAAUGAGUUUUUUAGUGAGUUAACUGAGAGGUGCCAGUGGUAUGAUGCAACUAUUAAUGCAACAUUUAUGGACUGGUGGUUUAAGCAAGGGAAGGAUAAGGAGGCUAUGGAGAAUUAUAAGACGUUUCUGGAUAAGAAAUUGAAGAUUCCAGUUCCAACUGGAAAUGCCCUUUUGGAGGUUCUGGUUAGGUAUGGAAAAAAAGAGACAGCUAUGGCUUUGUUUGAACAAAUGUUGGAUAACCAUACCCCGCCAACUGGCCAAGGUGUAAAUUCUGAAACUUUUAAUAUCAUGGUGAAUGAGUGUUUUAAGGAAGGGAAGUUUGAUGAGGCAAUUGUUAUGUUUAAGAAGGCAGGGACAAAACCUGGAUCAAAACCUUUUCAAAUGGAUGUUGCAGGGUAUAAUAACAUUAUAAUGCGGUUCUGUGAGAAGGAGAUGUUGUCAAAGGCAGAGGAGUACUUCAAAGAAUUGUCGUCCAGGUCCUUGUCCCCAGAUGUCACAAGUUAUAGAACGUUGAUUGAUGCAUAUCUCAAGGCUGAGAGGAUUGACGAUGCUCUAAGGUUGUUACAAAAAAUGGUGCAGGAAAAUUUGUGGGUGGUGGCAAGUUAUGGGAUAAGGGUGUUUGGAGAGUUGAUUAAGAAUGGUAAGGCAGUGGAGAGUGCUGAAAUUUUGAGAACAAUGAGUGACAGAGAUCCAAAACCAGACCCCUCUGUUUAUGAUGUUGUGGUCAGAGGGCUCUGCAGCGCAUCUGCAUAUGACAAGUGCAAGGAUAUACUGGAGCAAAUGAUGAGAUAUGGUGUUGGUGUUCCUCCUGCUUUAAAGGAAUUUGUAAUUGAGGUAUUUACAAAUGCUGGACAGAGUGAAGUAAUUGAGGGAGUUUUUGAUGAAAAUAGAUGGAAGAACACUUCAGGACCCCCUCGUGCACAAAGGCAACCUCGAAUGCCUUGGGGAUCUCCCCAAAUUGCUAGAGAGCAGCCAGCAGGGCCAUUUUCAUCUCCUGGACAAGCUGUGUCAGGUCAACCUCAAGGGGCAAGACAACAGCCAUAUAGUUACCAGCAAAUGACAGGCCAAGUGCCAUCAGGACCACCUCAAGUGACAGGACAGCAACCAUCAUGGCCUCAUCAAAUGGCAGGACAGCAGCCAUCAUGGCCUCGUGAAAUUCCAGGGCAGCAGUUAUCACAGUCUCUACAAACAAGACAGCCAUCAUCAUGGUCUUCUGAAAGAGGAGGACAUCAGCCACAAUUACCUUCUCAGAUGAGAGAGCAGCAGCCAUUUGCCUCCAAUAAUAUUGCAGGACCAGAGCCAUCAAGACCUUAUCAAACUGCAGGACAGCAGCCAUCAGGGUCUCAUCAAAUUCCAGGGCAGCAGUUAUCACAGUCUCCUCAAAUGGGACAGCCAGCAUCAUGGUCUUCCGAAAGAGGAGGACAUCAGCCACAAUUACCUUCCCAGAUGAGAGAGCAGCAUCAAUUUGCCUCCCAUAAUAUUGCAGGACCAGAGUCAUCAAGACCUUAUCAAAUUGCAGGACAGCAGCCAUUAGCCUCUAAUGAUAUUGCAGGACAGCAGCCAUUGAGACCUUAUCAAAUGGCAGGGCACCAGCCCUCAUGGUCCUCUCGGACGGGAGAACACCAGCCAUCAUGGUCCCCUCGGACGGGAGAGCACCAGCCAUCAUGGUCCUCUCGGACAGGAGAGCACCAGCCAUCAUGGUCUUCUCAGACAGGAGGACACCAGCCAUCUAGGUCAUAUCAGAUGGGAGGACACCAGCAAUCAUGGUCCUCUCAAAUGAGAGGAGAGCAGUCAUCAGGAACUACAUAUAUGGCCGGACAUCAACCAUCCGAAUCCAGGCAAAUUUCAAGACAGGUAGCAUUUGGAACCUAGCAAAAUUCAAGGCAAUUUCAUAUUAAGAAAUAUUUGAGACAUAGCAAUACACUAACCUUUAGAAGAUAUCUCCAAAAAUAGAUUAUUCUGUAAUGAUAUAUAAAAAAUGAGAACGUUCAUUUUGUAGCUUGGCUUUGAAUCUCGUAGGGUUUUGCAUCAUAUAGAAAUUGUUAGUAGAUGAUAGGUUAUGGCAUUGAGUUUUUAAGAUAGAUGGGAAACAUUAGACAAACUAUGAAAUUAAUAUGUUCUGACAUGGGAGAAAAAUGCAUGCAAGGUAGACCAUUAAAACCUUAGAAGCAAUUUUCUUUUUUAGUCUACUAACCAUUUUUUCAGAUCUGUCUUGUCUUAGUUUUUUUUUUUUUUUUUGUAAUUAUGCAUAUAUUUAAGUCUUUGGGGUAGUAUGCAUGUAUCUGAACUCUGAAGUUGUUUUACUGUGUAUAAUUUGCUUGGGAACCUUAUUAAGAAUUUAGUAAGUUAGGACGACCUGAGUUGCAUUCAGAAGGAAUAUAGAUGCUUAAUAGGUUUCCUACAAAUUUUAGAUGAUCCUCUUUUCUUUCCCCCUUUUUUUAAAAAACUUUGAUUUUCAAUUUAUUUUCCCUUUGUUUUCUUUGAAUGGGGGGAUUUUGGGCUUAUAUGGCAGGGUAUUGAUGAAUAUUGAUAUGUAUUUCAAGGGUAAAGUCCCUUUUGUUCUUUUUAUUUUUUCUAUAUUAGAUAAUGGUUAAUUAGCACUAUUUCCUGACUUGUAUCUUUCAUCUAUGUUUUAGUUUGAUAUGGGAUAUCAACCAAAUAGUCCCCCAGAAAUGUCGGAGCAACAUUCAUCAGGACCCCUUGAACGGCAAGAAAGUCACCUGCGGGCAGCUGUUUGAUACUUUCGAACAAAAUGAUCAAAUAGAAUGUUUGGCCUUUUCAUGUGCUGAUUUUUUAUUUCUGACACAUUUAUGCAUCCAUCCUAUGCAAUAGAUAAAUUAAUUUUUGUAAUUUGCCACAUGAUAUUUUUCAUUGGAAAUAUGAAUUUUAAUGGAAAAAAUAUAUAUCUUUGGGACAGUUGCUGAAUGUUGGAGCUCCUAUGUGCAAUUCUUUGUAAACUUGUAGAUGUUUGUACUGCCACCUUCAGUUAGAUAUUUUAGUGUGUAUUUCAACAGGUGAUUUUUCUUUCUUUGUGAAAUAAUUCCUAGUUUUUGGAGGAAAUGCAGGAUUGUGGGAACACGAUUUAUAUGGUUAUAUUGCGAUUUGAAGUUGUUAGCUUUGAUUUGGCUUUAAUUGAAGAAAUGAAACAAACUGUACUAUUUGUCAUUUGACUGUUGAGACAGUGAUGUAUCCUUCAAGUCAUAUUUUGCUCUUCAUUCGCAUUUUAGCCCAUGUGGUGAAAUAUUCCACACUGAAGAAUGAGUGCAAAAUCGUAACUCAAAUUGAACCACCAUUAAAAAAUGUAAUUACAUUUCAUCUCCAUUUUAUAUUUAAUUAAUGAUUUUAUGUUUGAGCUUCAACAAUCAAUAACCCUACUCAGAUUGUAAAAUCCUUAAAACUCCAAAACAUUAAAUGGCAAAAUCAGUUUUAUCUUAUCAAGCUGAAUAGGCUAAAUUAUUUUAUUCUACUAAGUGUAUAUAUAUAUAUAUAUACACACGUAACUAAUUUCUAUGCUCAUUUUUUUUAAAAUUGCUUUUGAGAACAGGACUCAAAAUUACCCUGAAAAACAUUAUCACAGCUUUACAAGGUUGUAAGACUUGUUAUUAACACGGUAUGUUCUAGAAAGCAAUGGGGAACUAUUAACUAAUACAUCUGCAAAACUUUCCUCAUACCAAAACUACCAGAACAUAAAUCAAAAUGAUCUCAGGGCAAAGUUUCCAACUUGUUGCCUCUCUCAAAAUUUGUUCAACAAAUAGCAAUACCCUCAAUCAUCAAUGACUCAAUGGCCUAUAAAACACUAACUGUACAAUUGUGCCAGAAAAAAAAAAUCUCUUUUUGAAGGGCUACGACAGCAACCCUUUGAAUGUCUAGUAGCACUAUAUGAUUGAUAUUGUACCUCUACCAAGAAAAGAAAAUCAAAAUCAAAAUUCCAUUACCGUUGAGGUAAGGUUGAGCAAGGGCUCCAGUGCACUUGGAUGAAACUUUCGGGCGAAGAGGUAACAAACAGAUGUCAUUUCUGAAUUAUAUGAACACUGUGUCUCGUUAUUCCGAAUAGACUGUAUAAAACUUUCUGUAACAUUAAUUCCCCAGUAUGUUGCUGGAUGCGGACCCCCCACCGACCAAUCAACCCAUGUCACAGUGCGAUUCGAAUUAAGUGGCCCAUGAAACAUGUUCAGAUAAGUUGGAAUAUAAUGCUCAUCAGGAUAACAGGCAGGCUUGCAAUAUUUCUUGAAGAUAGAAUAGUACUUGGUGUCUGCAAGAACAUAAACAGCCAGAGCUCGUUGGAUCUCAAACCAUUGAGAACCCUUCCUCCACUGAUAGAGUUGAAUAUCAGGAAACAUGUUACGGUUGUAGCGGCCACGUCCAUAGCGGGUCGGUUCAUCAUAUGACUCAACAAAGCUAUGUUCAGAACCAAUAAGAUACUUGUAGACAGUUGGGAAAUUGUAGAUCGGAAUGCAACUCUCGGAGAGAAGAACAAACCGCUCAUUUGAGAAGUCCAGCAGGGCAUUGGCUAGAAGGCGCUUCUCAGCAUCAACCAGUUUUACUGUUCCCCAUUCAACAUUCUAGACAAGGGAGAAUCAAAAAAUAUUAUUAAAUACCAAAUACAAUUAACUAAGAUACCAUUUCACUUACAACAGUCAUCUAGUUUCAAGAAAAAGUUGCAGGGGAAAGCUUUUGCCCAAUCGAAGGGAAAAAAAUGCUUUUUAACACACAACAGAAAGCUAAAACGGCAACAAUUGGAGCCCUUCCCACUCGUAGUGGAAUAUUCUAUGAGACUAUGACAAACAAGUAGUUUCAUUCACUACAGGGGUUCCAACUAAAAAUAUUACCAGUAACCAUGACAUUCCAGACAUAAUAGACAAUAUUUCUUAUAACUCUCUUAUUAUCAAUAUAAAUUUAAAGAUCAAUUAAUAAUUACAAAUGCAGCCAGACUCACAUUUGAUACCACCAUAAAAUUGGAUUCUAAAAUUCACGGGUUUGCACAUUUAAAGGAGUAAAUUUGAUUCAUUUGAGAGUGGUCAUUGGAAGACUUCAUCUAACUCCAAUGAAUCCAUUGCUCAGUGUUGCUGGGAGUUGCAUAAUUUAUCUUCAAUUAGUUUGGAUGAUGUCAUGCUCUACCCUUUAAAUGGCCAAAUUUGAAAUGUGCCAAUUGGUUGCAAACAAAGAUAUUUUCCAAAAAAGUUUGUUUCAUGACCAUCGGUACAUCGAUGGAGCCAUGAGAGUAAAUCUUGGUACUAUAUACUUGUCUGAAUUAAGACAUCUGUUCCUUUUCCUCAUGUUGGACAAUAUAUGUGUUCAUGUUAAGUAGUACACCCCAUGGAGAAGUUUGCUUCCAGAUAAAGAUAAUUUGUAAAACUUCAACAAAUUGUUUACAUAAACAGUACCAUAGAUGAAAAAAUACAUAUACAUGGUCACAUGCACAUGCACAUUUAUAUCAUAUAUGUACCGACACAGAGAGAGAUGAUAAAUAAUCCAUUUACAUAUCUGUAAGUCUGGUUGUACACAAUUUUGAUUGAUGGCUACGAGAUUCAAUACCAAUUCUUUCUCCCAUCAAACAGCAAUUAUAAAAAGUUUUCGAAGGAGAAAACAGAUAAAGAAGAUUCUUAAAGUUUAGCAUAAGAACUUAUAAAUGCUCCGUCCCAUCAAAGAAUAUAUCAGUCCAGUUAGUUUAGAAUCUUAGCUUUAAAAUGAUAUCAAUUGAUGAUCUCCCAAUCAAUCGAGCAACUUCUCCCGUCAAGUUCUCUCCGAAACAAUUUUUUACUAAUCCACUCAAGUUCUAGUUCACUGCAUACAUAAUUCUUCGCUUAUUGAUGUUUACUUUAACCAUAACUCAUACAAUUGCUAGCAACAUAAGCAUGAAACUAACCCAACUCAAUCAAGAAAGAACGAAAUAUACAACACAAACCAUAACAUUUCAUUUGUACCUGUUACCAAUAGCAAGGAAACAGCAUAUAACUCGGUAUUAUUAGCAUCAACAAAAAUAAACAUAAACCAAACAAUAAAACCACAAGUUACAGUUCAUACCUUGCUUGGAAUCUGCCUUCUGUAGAAUGGAGAAUCCAUUGAAACGUUGAGCACAUAAUUCCGAGGGGUAUGUAAAUAGAUAGAGAAAUAAUUCUCAUGGCCUCUAAAGAACCUCUCCCACAAUGGCAACAUAGGCAAAGGCCCUCUAGUCAGAAACAUGAAAGCCACUUUAGGCACUCUAUCAAAGGGAUACUCUUCCUUGAUUGGAACCAAAGAAGCUCUCCAAAAAAGCUCCUCAUCUUUCAUCCUAUGAGUCAAGUUCUUAGGAUGAAGAAAUGUCUCCAUACUGAAACAAUCAACCCUCUUGCAAGGUCUCACAAUUGUGCAGUUAUUGCCAGAGAUUUUUGUUGCAGCUAUGUUGCUGGUGAAAAAUAGCCUAGCUUGCGAAGUAAACAUUUGGUUGAUAUGAGAACUUGUAGCCAAGCCCAUAAUAAUACCAGCAACAAAAACAACCAAAAAUGAUAAUAUUUGCACCAAUUUUAGUAAACCCAUAUGCCUAUCUGGUCCAUCUUCCUUGUCUCCUCUAUGCCUUGCCAUUUCUUUUGGUGGAGAAAAUCUCCAGAGGCUCUAAUUUGAAUGACUAAAGAAUGCCCUUUCACUCAUGCAAAAAAAUUUGGAGCCUUCAGAUACAAACUCAAAAGGCCCAUGUAUAGUAAUCACCAAAAAGAUUUAAUUGUUUUUUGUGAAAUUGAUACCAGUGACAAAAACUGAGAGAUACCCACCACCAAAACUCGAAUUCAAAAGUCGUGAAAAGUACACAAAACCUAAUAUUUGAAGAGCCUGAGUACAAAGAGUGAGGUGAAAAGAAAUCAAAUAAAGAAUUGAAUUGAAAUCAAGAAAUUAGAUCUUUGGGAUCAAAUGGAAUAAGAUCACUCAGUUAUAUUUUGUGAAACCCAAGAGUAAGGAUUUGAUUGUAUCAGUGGCGGAGAUAGAGAAUAGAGAAAUAGAUAGGAUCGACAUUAGUACAGGAUCAAAUAUGGAAUCACGUCACCGACCACAAGAGACAUUAAUGCAGGAUCAAAUAUAUGGAAUCACGUCCCCAACCACGAGAGAGAGUGUGAGAGACAGAGAGAGACAAAUUUGAACUGGAAUUAUUGGAAGUGGUGUUGGUGGAGAUUGUGAUUGAAAACGACACGGCGUUUUACAGGGAGACUCAGAGAAACAGGGCAGGAACAAAAAAGGAAUUAAAGAUUUGGACGCGGAGAAUCAAAGUUCCGGGGAAACAUUUUUAGCCUGGAAUUAUUUUAAACUUAAAAAUAAUAUUAUAAUAAAUAAUCAAAAGAAAACACUUGAGAUUUGCUUCAAUAUGUUUUUUUAAUACUUUAUUAUAAUAUUUGUAAUUUUAGUAAAUAAAAUGUAAAAAAUUUAUUUAGUUUAAUAUUUUAGAUUAUUAAAAUAUAACUAUUAAUAAUCUUUAAUUUAUAAUUGUGAAUUAAUAUUAUAUUAUUUUCAAGUUCUAGAACUAAAGUAAUGAUUCCUAGUGUUUACAAAAAAAAUUUAACGUCCAAAUAAAUUUAAAAAUAAAAAUAAAAAUAAAUUAUGUAAUGAGAUUCAAAUAAUUUUAAAUUAAAAUGCUAAGUUCAAAAUGUAUAGUAAAGCAUCUAUUUUCAUGAGAACAGAUGGAAAGAAGGAAAUAAAGAAAUGCAGACCAAAGACAUGAUAAAGGAUAUUUUCGUAAUUAAAUAAUAAUAAUUUUAAAUUCGAAAAGGCAGAAACAGAACGAGGAAACGGGAAACACUUGCGGCGUGACUGUGUCUCGGUGGUUUUGUCGUUUUGCUGUGUUCUUGGUUUGUUUGCACUUUGAAGUUUGAAUGACAAACGGUCUCCACUCUCCAGUCCACGGGUUACGCGCCUUUUGGUCACGUGACGUGCUCGUGCUCAUGAUGUGGGCUUAUUUGGGCCGUUUGGAUUUCCCUAUUUAGGCCUCGAACCAAAAUCCAAAUACAAGCCUAGUCGAACGAGAAUGGGCCCCUUCUCAUAUAGUAUUUGUUUGGAUUUUUUUUUUUUUCCUUUGGAAUUCUGAAGUGCAUAAGUUUAAAGCCUUUUUAUCAUGUUGGUCUUAAAUGUAUGAUGAUAGUACUAUUAAAAAACUACUUCUAUUAUAAAAAUCAAUUUUUAUUUAAAAGUAUGUAAAUAAUAAUAAUAUUGAAAGGGAAAUUAUUGUGAAGCAGCUAUCAUUAUCAGUUGAAUUAUUGUUUAUUAAAUUAAAAUUUUGUUAGUUGAAUUUUAGCUAUUAAUUGCUAUUUAUUAUAGAACUUGUCUUAAGUUGGUUGGAAACCAUUUAUUGGACUACUUAUUUUAUAACCAGUUAUAUACCUCCGCGUGUCCUAUGCGCUUGUGGCCCCGAGCUCACUGUUACUGUAAUCACAGGCUUUUGGCCGGUCUGCUCACGUAACGGUAUGUUUUUCCUUUUUUUUUUUUGUUUUUUUUUUUUUUAUUUUUUUCCAACUGAGACUUGAGAGGUGUAAAUUUCCCGAAGCGACGUAAAGCGUAAAUAUUUUUUACUGUUUUAAGUAAAGUUUAUUUUCUGAUUGAAUUUAUAUUUUUACUCAAUUUCACAACGAAUUAAAAAAAUGUCAUUUUCAAUUUUCACAGUCACCUUGCUCUUGGCGAUUAAUGAAUAUUUUCUUAUAAAAAAUAAAAAAGUCAAGAAGAAGAAGAAAUCAUGUGUAUCACGCGCGAAAGAGAUUGAUGAAUCCUUUUAUACAUAUAUAUUUAUGAAACAAAGUAUUGAACCAACUCUACAUGUAUUUUUAGGUUUUCUUUUUUCUUUUUUAAUUUUACUUCUGAUGUUUGGUUUCUAAACAAAACUAAUUCGGUUGGAAUUAGACCGAAAUUAGAACCAGUUAUAAAAGAGAGGAAAAAAAUAAAAUGAUACAAAUGAGUAUAGAAUUCAUUAAUAUGGAAUCCUUUUAAAUAUUUAGAAAAGAGAAUUUUGACUUUUCACCGGUUGAUUCAGUGCAAAUUUGAAUUAAUUAGGUUAAUGAAUUUUAACGUCGAAUGGUUAAAAAUCAAGGGAAAAGAAAAGGAAAAAAAAAAAAAAAGAAAAUGACUCGCUGAUAUUUGAAAAGUUGAUUUCGAUCUCGAUUUGGAAUCUCACUUGUCUAUCUGUUUGUUCAGUGAAUCUACCACCUCUUGUGUUGGUUGCAGGCAAUUAAUAAUGUGACUGAAGAAAUUUUCCAGAUUGCAUAAAGACAAAGGAUGGGCUAAUGAGCUUUAGAUUUGUGCUAGCUGUAGUGUGUAUAUAAUAUAUUGUUGGCUGCAAAAUUUUACAUCUUAACCAUAAGUAAUUUUAUGGUUUAUUCGGUAAAAUUAAUUGUUUUGAUAGCUGUUAUAAGUUUUAAUAGCGUUUAGUUAACAACAACUUUUCAUAAAACGCUAAAAGAUAAACGUUACAUUAGUUAACUUUUCGUAAAAUAUUACGUUGAUCUCUAAAAACUAGUUCAAAAUUAUUUCAUCGAACACUGUAAAAAAUAGCGUGUCAAAAUCUACUUAAAAAGUUGAUGUUGAACACAACCUUAGCAUUAUAAAUAAUUUAUUUUUAAAUAAUUAUUUUAUCGCAUUAAUUUCUUAAAAUAUAUAAUUUAUGAAAAAAUAUUUUUUUACCUUUGUAUUACACUUCCCAUUGCAUUAUCCUCAAAAUUAAUUAGUGUAAUCCCUAAACUCAUUUUCAGUUUUUUUUUAUAUGAAAGAAUUUAAACUAUACAUAGAAUUCAUUAGCAAAUGAUAAUAUUUAAUUUAUAUUAAAUUUUAUAAAAUUUAAAAAGAUUUCAGACUAUAUUUUACUAUAAUACCUUUUAGUUCUAAAAAGCAUUUAUUUUUUCUUUAAAAAAAUAAAUAAUUUUUUUAACAUUAAUUAAAAAUAAUUAAGAUGAUUUUACUAAACUAAAUUUAUUUAUUUAGAAAAUAUUUUACAUAACUAUUAAUCAAAUUCACAAAUUUGAUUUCAAUUAAUGUUUUCGUAUUUGAUGUAAGUGAAAAUAUUAAUUUCAUUAUAGAAAAUUAAAUUUUACAAAAUUUAAUACUAUAACUAAUCCUUUGUUUGGAAAUAAGAGGAAGAAAAAUAUGGGAAGAAGGAAAAUAACGAAGAAUUGUCAACUUUAUUUUCUUAGUUAUUUUCUACUAUUGUGUUUGGACACAAUGAAGGAAAUAAAGUAAAUUUAUUUUCUUUUAUAUGGAAAGGUCAAAAUUUUAGAUGAAAAAAUAUCAUUAUUGAAAAUUAAUAAUUAUGUCCUCGUUUAAAUUAUGAUGUAUUUAAGAAAAAGUUAAAGUUUAUUAAUUAAUUUAGGGUAUUUAUGUAAUUUAAUAAAAAAUAGUGAAAAUCUAUCUUUUCUCUAUUAUUUUAUCUCUAAAUCAAAGAGAUUAAAAAUAUAUGGAAUCAAAUGGAAAAUAAGUAAAAUAUUUUUUUUCUUUUUAAUUCAUUGGAGGUUUUUAAAGGAUAUGAACUAUGCAAGAGUAAUCCUUCAUUUGGCUCACUAAAUUAGUGAAAACAGCUAUGGUCGAGAGAACUCGAACUUGAAUCAAUAUUUUUUCUUUUUCACAAACAAAGAAAAAAAGAUACAUAUCCUAUAUAUUUUUCAUAAUUAUUUUCGUUCCUUAAUAAAAAAUACUGCUAUAAAUAAAAACCAAUAUAUAGAUUUAUUUCAACUAAUAACCACAGUAAAUUUAAUCACUGAGCCAUAUCAUAUGUUGCUUAACAACUUGAAGACUGACUGGCUGGACAAGUCAACCUUCAGCUGCACCUAACCAGGGAGGGUUGUGUCUUUGGAUUGGGAACACUAGGCACGUUCGUAUGACUUUUGAAAGUAAAGGAGAUUUUAGUCAUUUACGUGCUUACUGCCAGCUAAUUAAAGUUUUCUAAUUAUUAUUUUUUAUUACAAGUCUAUUAUUGACGAAGUUUGUCUGUAUUAGGCAUAUGAAAUCACCAUAUGAAUGCACGUUUUAUAUGUUUUUAAUUUUUUUUUUAUUGUAUAGUGGUAUUUAAUUUUGAAAAGCAAAGACAACGUGAGUGACGGAACUAGGGGUAGCCCACCUAAUUUUAUCUUUUUUUUUUAAAUUUACUUUAUAAAAAAUAGAAAAUUUUACUUUUUAUUUAUAAAAUUGUGAUUUUUUAUAUUGCUCUCUUUAAAUUUUAAAAUUUUUUUUAUUGCCUCCCUUAAUUAUUUUUUUUGGUUCGGACACUGCUCUCCGUCAAGAAAGAUAAUUUUUUUUUCUUUUAGUUUAUUUCAAAUAUAGUCCAUUUUUUUCAUUAUAGUUAAUUUUUAAAUUGUAUACUAUUACUUAUUAAAUUUUAUUUUAUUUUCAAUAAUUUUCAUUAAUUUAAUUAUUAUUUUAAUACUUAUGUGUUAUUUAAGAUAGAUAUAAUAAAAAAAUUAUAUAAAUAAAAUUAUUUUUUAAUUAUAUUUUUUAAUCUGUGUGAAAAUAUAGUGGCCUAUUUCUUAUGAACGAUGAAUUUUUUGUCAUAAUUAUUCAUCAUUAAUCAUUUUUUAAUGGCCUAGUGUAUUAUGUGGUCACAAAUAAACACGUCAGGAGCUUCUAAAAAAUCAAUGAAAAAAGUAAAUAUAAAACAGGGCACAGAUAGAGCCAUCCAAAAACAUAUCUAGAACAAAUGUAGAUAUAGUUUUAUUUACAUUCUUAAAAAAUUACCAAAUUAAAAAUAUUUUAUAAAAUUAAAUUAUAUUCUUUUUCCAAACAAAAAUACAAAAUAAAUUUUAUUUUUAGCCACAAUUGAAAUUUUAAAAUUCAAAAAAAUUAAUUUAAUUACAAUAUUAUAAUUAUAUAAAAAUAAUUUUAAUAGAUAGAUAUCAUUUUUGGCAGCUCACGGGCACGUUUCUUCCAACCUCUAACAAUUUAGGCAGUGACCCUUAAUUAACAAGAAAAGAAUUGUCGUUUUGUUAAUCAAUGGUGUAGAAGUAUAACAAAACACCAAAACUCCAGAACACCAUUGCUUAAAAAUAAAUAAUUCUAAAAAAAUAAAAUUAGUAGUAUUACUUUUCUAAACAAAGAAUGCUUAUAAAAUGCAAGAAAAAGAAAGAAAACUAAUAUUUUUCUUUUUUAACUUUACCGGCACAAACAUUUCACACAAUUUCUGGAGUAAAUUAAGAUUAAGUUUUAGAUUACCAUGCAAGAAAAUAGGUAAAGGGUCUUCCUUGGUAUAAAUGGAUAGAUUAUAGACAAAGAAAGAGAAGAUUUUGGAAGCAAAGAGAGAGAGAGAGAGAGAGAGAAAGAGAGAGGGAGGUGGAGAUGGAUCAUACAAGAGAGGGAUAUGACAUAGAAGUAGAAGGAUCAUUUGCAGGAAUGGAAGAAGAUAAAGAAUUCAAUUCAAUGAGAGAGCCACUUCUCAGGAACAGAAAGAAUACUACUUCACAAAUUGCCAUUGUUGGUGCCAAUGUUUGUCCUAUUGAGAGUCUUGAUUAUGAGUACUUUUCUAUCUUUAUUAUUACUGUUUUUCUUAAUUUUUCCACCUUUGGUUUUUGUUCUUUUGUUUGGAAUAAUUUGCUUUACUGUUGUUUUCCAUUGAUUUCUUGAAUUUAAGCCCAUUGGCUUUUCUGGGUUUGAAAAUGAAUUCUUUGUUUGUUGAGCAAUCUUGAAUUAUCACUCACAUACACAGACACGGGUUUCUAAAAGUAAAUGACAUGAAUAAGUGAAAUCUUUGAGUUACAUCGUUCUUUGUAUUAUUAUAUAGGCAUAUAGCUCAUUUUCAUAAGUUAAUUUUGCUGGAUAUAUAAUGCAAGAUUCAAGAUUUUAAAAUCUAAUUGAUCUGGAUUUAGGAAAUAAGACCGCAUUGGAGCAAGUUAGAUUUUUUUUCAUUUUUUUUUUUUGAUACAUGUCUUGAGAUGCUGAGUUUUUAAAUAUUGAAAAGUAAAUUAGUUGUUUGGUAGUUAUCCAGAUGCGAUGAGGUCAUUAUAAAUCAUCACUCAAACAUAUAGUUUUUGCUGCAAACACAGAUGCGUUAAGAGCUUCAGAAAUAAUAAUCUUAAUGUAAUGAGUUAUUGAAAAAAUAAUUUCAAUAUUUGAGUAAUUUAAUUUACAUAGAUUUUAUGCUAAUAUCAGAUUUUUACCAAGUUUUCCUCUUAUGUUGCUUUUGUUGUAGGAAAUGAGCGUUGAUGGUUAAUUCAUUCUGCCUCACUUUUUUCCAUGCGUUUUUUCAGGAUUUUUGAGAAUGAACUUAUUAAACAAGACUGGAGGUCUAGAAAGAAGAUUGAGAUAUUUCAGUACAUUUUCCUCAAGUGGACACUUGCCCUUCUCAUUGGGUUAGGUACAGCACUUGUUGGCCUUUUCAAUAACCUUGCUGUUGAGAACAUUGCUGGUUUCAAACUUCUGUGGACUAACAGUCUCAUGCUUCAGGACAAGUAUGUAAACUGUUACCUCAUUUCUCCAAUCUUAGUUUCUUGAUUUAGUCAUGUUUUCAUGUAUUUUCUUAAGGAAUUGUAAAGCUCUUGAAAAAGUGCACUUAAACAAUGUAUGUGCUCGGCAUAAUAUCAACUGCAAAUUUAUUUGAACCCGAGCAGAUAUAAUUGUGCUUGUGCUUCUGUGAUAAUUUAUCCUUGUGUAGUUGGAAGUCUUAAAAACACCAUACUAGUUAUCCAAUGUCUCAUGGAUCUGGCUUGCUUAAUGUUUUAUUCUUAUGUGAUUGUGUUUGCCUCACAUUUUAUAUGCCUUAAAGUAUUGGUCUUCUGUUCCAUGAGCAUCUUUGUUGCCAUUGUUUUUUCCCCUUUCUUUCAAGGAAUAUGAGUGCUGGGAGAAUCUUAUUCUGGUAGUUUUAGAAAUAGCGCGCAGUCUCUUCUUAAUAUUUGAUUUUUCUAGUCAACAUAAUCUUUAUUUAUAUUACCCGAAGAAAGUUAAAGUUUCGUGCUUGAAUUUGGCCCUUUUUGCGCAUUGAAUUAUUGUUGUACUUCAAUUCACAUUCCAAUAAGCUUUCUUGGUUCUAUUCCUCCACGAAACAAAUUUCGUGCUUUGUCAAUUAUCAUAAUUCUUUGGAGUGACUACAAAAGGAUUUGUAUUUCAGUGCAGGUAUUAUCAAGGAUUUGCGGCAUAUGCUGGUAGCAACCUGAUUCUGGCAAUUGCUGCUGCAGCUCUCUGUGCUUAUGUUGCUCCUGCAGCAGCUGGAUCUGGCAUUCCGGAGGUUAAAGCAUACCUGAAUGGUGUAGAUGCUCCUUCUAUAUUGGCCCCAAGUACACUUUUCAUAAAGGUACCUCUCUCUCUCCCUCCCUCCUCCCUUUUUCCUCAGAAUCCACACACAUCCUUUGCUGAGAACAUUUACUAUCGAUCAAGAACCUGAAACUCCUUGGAACCUUGAGCAGUUCAUGAUAGCUACUCCUUUUCUUGGAGGUUGUGGAACUUAAAGCUCUUAAUUUAGUUUUAGAGGCCAAUGAGAUUGUGGGAAUUACCUCUAUCUCUCUUUUGCUCUCAAACUUUUGUCUCUCUCUCUCUUCUGGAUGAUAUAAAUGAUGAAUCUGCAUUGAUGAUUGCAAGAUAAUUCACUGGUUUGCCUGCUAAUAAAGCCAACCACUAGUUACAUAUGAAAUUUGCAGAUUUUGAGUAAAUUACUUUAAAUGGGAAACAUUACAAUCUUUUGCACUGCUAGAUGUCAUUAUAAUGUAAUAUUUUGUGUUCUUUAAUAUUAUGCUAGCUUGAAUAUUAUUUUUGAGACAUGUAAAAAUAUUAGUUUGGUCAUGAUAGUUAACAAAGGAUGUUGGUGUUGGCUCAGUCAUGAAAUAAAUAUUGCUAUUGCCAAGUUCACACUGGUAUCUCCUAGAACCUGAUGCCAGUUGAAAUGCACUGUUUGUUGGUUUUUUAAACAUAGCUUAAAAGUUGGAUGUAAUAUCCUGGCUUGUGGAAAGGUGAAACAAGAGAUAAUAAUCCUAUUAUUCAUUGUUUCUCUGAUUGUCCUUGUCCAUCAGAAACAUAAGUAAGCACUAUAAAGUGAGAACAAUUUCCCUGCUCUCUUAAGUUGAGAAUUAGCGUUAUUCUUGCUGAGCAUUUUCUUGUCAACCAGUGAAAUGAUGUACUUUCUUUUGUCAUAGUUGUAUCUACUUUUAUUUAUUUGCUUGGAUAGCUUGCUUUUCAUUGAUACUUUUCUUCCCUCCUAUGUUUAAAAGAUUCUGAUAAUUUAAUGAUUAUUGAUCUGAGUUGGAGAGGUCAAGAUAUAGGUUUACAUAAAAGUUUGAUGUUUUGAUGAGUUGCUCAAACUUCUUAGAAGUUAAUGGCUUCUUGUUUUCCUAUUAACAAAUGUCGCUUGUUUCAAAAAUAAAAUCUGUGUUAAUUUUACAUCUCUUAUUUCUCAGAUUUUUGGAUCCAUUUUUGGAGUUGCUGCGGGAUUUGUUGUUGGUAAGGAGGGACCUAUGGUACACACUGGUGCUUGCAUUGCCUCCUUACUUGGCCAGGGUGGUUCUCGAAAAUACCAUUUGACUUGGAGAUGGCUGAGAUAUUUCAAAAAUGACCGGGAUCGGCGGGAUUUGGUUACUUGUGGUGCUGCUGCUGGUGUGGCAGCUGCCUUCCGUGCUCCUGUUGGUGGGGUUCUCUUUGCCCUUGAAGAGGCUGCCUCAUGGUAUCUCUUGUGUUUGUCGUCUCCUCGCAUUCUCCCUUCUAUAUCUGUCCUUGAAUUAGUGCAACAACUUCUGUAAUUUCUUAUGUCUACUUGUUCAAACUAUUAAAAUUGCUUUUGUUGUUUUACUAUGAGUUUGAGAAUUGCAUAAAGGCUACAUUUAUUAGUAAACUAGAAUAAUAAGAAACCAAAAUUCUAGCAAGUGAAAUGGGCUUCCUUGCAAAAUUGUAUCUGGUUUUUCGCUGCAGUUUGGGAUUUCAUGUUAAAAGUUAAGCAUCUUCAGUUUUUAUUUUGAUUGGUAUGCUAAAGAAGUCUGGACUUGUUUAAUGCAACAAUUUCUAGCUAUGUUGCUAAGUUGCGUCAGUGGUCGAUUUUGUUUGUUUCAAAAGCAGAUACUAACUUGUUCAGAAUGCAAAGUGUACAUUGUGAAUUUAUUAAUCUGUUUUGUUUUGGCAAGUGACAUUGAUGACAUUGUGAAUUCAUUUCUUCACUCACGGUUAAAAACUUUAAGGUUGUUUCGAUGCUUUGAGAUUUCUCUCCUGUUCUAACCUGAGGUCAUGUUGUUUUCUCAUAUUCAGGUGGAGGAGUGCUCUUCUCUGGAGAACUUUCUUUACCACAGCUGUAGUAGCAGUGGUGUUGAGAGGCUUCAUAGAAUUUUGCAGGACUGGCAAAUGUGGGCUAUUUGGGAAAGGUGGUCUCAUCAUGUUUGAUGUAAAUUCAGGAAAAGCAAUCUACACCACACCAGAUCUUCUGGCGGUUAUAUUCCUUGGAGUAAUAGGGGGUGUUCUUGGAAGUCUCUACAAUUAUUUUGUUGACAAGGUCCUUCGAACUUACAGCAUCAUCAAUGAGUAUGUCUGGAAAAUUUUAUUCUUUUGGAAGAGUGUUUUGCAAUUUACAUUUGUCACUAUGUUUCUACUGAAGAGUCAUAUGAAAUUCAGGACCAUAGGUUCAAUACUUAACAGAACACUUAUGGGACUACUUUAUAGCGCAUUGGUCAAUAAUUUGCCGAUCGAGUCUACUCAUGCAUUAAAUAAAUUCAACCAACAACAAACGUAAUUGGUUCAGAAUGAGGAAGACAUAGAUUGUCAUGUCACUUAUAACAAGAUUUAUUGUCUAUCUCUUAUAUAUAUACUGGUUACUUCUUCUUACAUUGAAAAUAAAGCUAGUGGCAGACUCCCUCUAAUUUCUUGGCUUCCCAACAUUUGUAGUCCAAUCUUAUUAGGAAAAUGCUCAAGUGCUCAUAUUUUCUCUUUUAAUGCUAAAAUUUCCUUAGAUAAAAACUUAUCCUUAUUCACUCAUUUAGCCUCCUAAAUAACUUUAAAGUGCCAAUAAAUGUCCGAAUUUGCAAAUUUGCUCAAAUUUUGAUUGCUGAUUGUUUGAAUGCCUUACAGGAAGGGUCCUUUAUUCAAGAUCAUGCUUGUUGUCAUUGUUUCCCUUCUGACCUCAUGUUGCUCUUACGGCUUGCCAUGGCUUGCACCGUGUAUUCCUUGUCCUCCUAACCUGGCGGAACGAUGCCCAACUGGAGGUCGCACUGGAAAUUACAAGAACUUCCAGUGUCCAGAAAACCACUACAAUGACCUUGCUUCCCUCUUUUUCAACACAAAUGACGAUGCUAUACGAAAUCUAUUAACCCCUGGUAGUGAAAAGAGAUUUCAGUUCUCCACCCUCCUGGUUUUCUUUGCUGCUAUUUACUGCCUUGGCAUCAUUACUUAUGGCAUUGCUGUUCCCUCUGGACUUUUCAUCCCUGUCAUUCUUGCUGGGGCCUCUUACGGUCGCAUUGUCGGAAAGUUGCUCAGUCCUGUCUCUGAUCUUGAUGUGGGUCUCUUUUCACUCCUUGGAGCUGCCUCCUUCCUUGGAGGCACAAUGAGGAUGACAGUUUCUCUCUGUGUCAUACUUCUUGAACUUACUAAUAAUCUGUUGAUGCUUCCACUGAUGAUGCUAGUUCUCCUUAUUUCCAAAACUGUAGCUGAUGCCAUAAACAAAGGUGUUUAUGAUCAAAUUUUGAAAAUGAAAGGAUUACCUUAUAUGGAAGCUCAUGCAGAACCAUACAUGAGGCACUUGGUCGCAAGUGAUGUUGUAUCUGGCAUGUUAGUUACAUUUUCUGGGGUAGAAAAGGUUGAGAACAUUUUAUAUGCUUUGAAAAAAACAGGCCACAAUGGAUUCCCUGUGAUUGAUGAGCCACCGUACACCCAAGCUCCGGAGCUGUGUGGGCUAGUUCUUAGGUCUCAUCUACUUGUGUUGCUUAAAGGGAAGAAAUUUACCAAGCAGAGGGAAAUGACUGGAUCAGGCAUUAGGAAAUCGUUUAGAGCCCACGAUUUUGCGAAAGCAGGUUCGGGCAAGGGUGUGAAAUUGGAGGAUUUAGAUAUCACAGAAGAGGAGAUGGAGAUGUAUGUUGAUCUCCAUCCCAUUACUAAUACAUCUCCAUAUACUGUUGUUGAAACAAUGUCUCUAGCUAAAGCUGCUGUUCUCUUCCGGGAGCUCGGCCUCAGACACUUGUGUGUGGUGCCAAAGACACCCGGGGUAAGAUUCACUCAGUUUAUUUAUAUUCUUCUGUUGCUAGUAGUUUUCUUAGACACUAAUGCAACUUCAAUUUCAUUUUCCCUCUUGCAGAGGCCUCCGGUUGCCGGAAUCCUGACGCGGCAUGAUUUCAUGCCAGAGCACAUUUUGGGACUCUACCCCCAUAUCAAUCCCCACAAGUAAGGAAGCAAAAUUAUUUUUCUUGUGCCAUUACCAGUGUUCUUUUAGAUGUACGGCAUUGAAGUGGCUGUAUUAAAAGAGGAUCUCAACCUUCUAUGCAAAAUUCUAUAUAGGAUACUUAUAAUGUGGUUUUUGAAAAGACAUUUUCAUUUGUGUAUAUAAACAUUAGACUUCCUGCACCAAAUUACUUUUACGUUUUGGUCAAAGUGUCUACCGUCUCACUUUUUAGCUGAGUUGCCCUCACUUGCAUUGCAUAUGAAAUGAUGCUACAUUGGUAUGAUGAGACACGUUGACUAUAUGUUUGAUGACUUUAUAAAAUGAACACGUCAUGUUAACAUUUUAUAUGUUUUAUGUAAAGUUGGCUAAAAGUGGGCCACCCUUACACAUGAGCGUUUGAUAUUUUUAUAUUCUGUUUACGUAACAAUUCUCAUGAGAUGAUAUCUGACGUUAUAUUGGUUAUUAAUUUUUUAAUUUUUUUUAAAUUUACUAUUUUAUUUUGAAAAUUAGAUAUAAAACUUAAUGUAAAUUUAUAGCAUAUUUAUUUUUUACUUGAUGUUUUAAGAUUCUAACAUUAAAUAAAAACAAAUAAAGAGAAAAACUUCCAUUUUGUAUAAUUUUGCACGGGGAAAUUACCGUUUAGUUCCUGUGAUUUAACGAAACUAACUAUUUUGUCUCUUUGUUUUAAAAAAAAUAGAUGGAUGUGAAACUACAUUUUGCCGUUAACGGAUGGAAGGACCAUACUUAGAAUAACUUAUUCAUUUAUUUCUGAAAACACAAGGAUGAAGUAAUAAGCUUCACCAAACUACAUGGACUAUAUAGUAAUUUUUUACAGUUUCAUUUGCAUAUUACAAUAGUCUUCUUCGUAUUCCUUUUCAAAAAAAUCCUUAAUUUCAUUUGUUUGGUUCAUUCAGUAGGCCAUGGAUCUAGUUUAGAUAAAUAUUUUUCUUAAUUAAAUGUAUUUUUAAUUAAAAAAAUAAUUACUUAAUGCAUAUCCGACCUGACAAUAGAUUAAAGUUCGAAUUCUCUUCAAUGCUCAAAAAUAAUAUAUGUUAAACCAAAUAAGGAUAUAAUGUAGCACUAUAAAUGAUAAAGCUCUACAUAAUUAAUGGUGGGGUUAAGAUUCAGAUACCAAGAACAAAAGAGCAGGACAGAAGUCAUUCUCAUCCCCACCUCAAGCCCUCUAGGCCCUAGAUGUGAUAAAGUUUUUUGUCCCUCUAUGGUGAUGAUCCUUGUUCCUAUCUAUCUCUUCUCUUUAGGUUGAAUAAGUAAAUUCACCUUUUGAAUUUUUAUAGCACUCGAAACUUAACUGAUGACAUGUACUGUACUUCAACUUGUAAAUUUUGAUAAUAAUAUCAAUAAUUUUUAGGGUUUUUAAUUUUUAUCUUGCAAAAUAUCAACUUGAUAUGUAGCUAGCAUGACUUUUAGAAUAAAAUUUUCAUAAAUUUUAAUUUUUAAUGAGUUUAAUUGAUCUAAUUUUGCAAGUUGAAAUGUUCAAUAAAAUAAUUUUGAAAAUUAAAGUGUUUAAUAGGUGUAGUUUUAUAAGUUAACAUAUUUGAUAGAUCAAAGUAAAAGUUUAGGGUGUCAUAAAAUUAUAAUAAUAAAAUUUAAGGGUGAAGUUAUAUAUUCAACGAUUUUUUAUUUUAUUUUAUGUUUUUUCAACUUUUUACUAUGCUGAAACAUUGAUUAAACUCAAGUUAAUACAACAUUGAUUUACCAAAGUUUUUCUCUUGCUGAAGGAACAAACCCAUCGAUGAGAUCUACAGCCUUUGUCAAGAUUGGGCUUCAACAUAUGCAAAAAGGAGUGACCUUUCUUGAUCAACCAUACCAUCUCAUAGUGUUCUAAUCAGCAAAACUCUCUGGAGUCUCUUUGCAAGAUCUUCUAUGGAGGAUUUUAUUCUAGAAUCUUUCAGACAACCAGGAUGUUUAUAUACUUUAUUUAUGAAAUUAGCUCUAGCUUAGUGGUGAAUCUUUUAAACGGAGCAUCAAAGCCCCGCAGGUUCUUUCCUUUCGUAUCAUCUGGACAUAGUCUAGUGGCGACCGCCUUUCAAGUGCAGGGAUGAAAUCUUGAAUUUAAAUCCAAGCUCCUCCAUUACAGACUGUCCUUUAAUGGGCUUCUAUUAUCAUUUGUGAUUAUAAUGAUGUUUUUGAAAAUGUAAAUUCUUUAUAACACUGUUCAGUGUACAUUUAUAAUAUAUAAAAAAUUAUUUGAAUGAAAUCUUCAUGUUGUCUUUUAUAUGCAACGGUCAAUUACACAAAAAAUAAAAUAAAAAAUUAUAAUUGUAUUUAAAUAUUUCAAAAUAAGCUACUUUAUCCUAAGAUUUAAAAAUAUUUACAGUAAUUAUACUCAUUGGAUCCAAAUUACAGAGUCAUCUUUUGAAAUUGAUAAGAGAUCCAUGAAAAAUUAUUAUAUAAUUAGAUUUGAUGAUGACUGAUUUGAAUGUAAUUAUAAUUUUUUUGAAAAUAUUCAGAUUUUCUUGUCCAUUUGACCUUUUUUUCUAACAGUAGUUCGCAUAACCAUUGUCUUUUGGUAACUUUUUAUUCUUUGAAAUAUAUUCAUUGGUAAUAAAUCGAAGUUAUUAUAUUUUAGAAAAAGUUAAUUUCAACACCAUACUGUGUUGUUUAAAAUAUUUUUUUAUCCAUAUAACUAUUUUCAUGUUUGGACCAAUGGUUAUAUUCAGAUAAAGCGUUUUAAUGAUUAUGUAAAGUUUGCCGGGAAUGCAAUUUAUCUCAUUUAAUCAUAUAAUUAUUCUUUAAUCACAAUGAAUCAACAACAUAAUUUUUUAGUAUUUUUGAAGUAUAUGUAACAUUAAUUUUCUUCAAAACCUAUAAAUAAAUUUUUUUUCAAUUUCUUUAAUAGACACAAGAAAUGAAAAGGAAAGAUAUGAGACUAUUGCAAAAGUUCAAAUUUUAUUUUUUGAAUGAGUGAAAAAAAAAAAAAAAAAAUUUAAAACCUGAAUUUCGAGUUGGUUUAAAAAAGAGGUCCCAACUUCUUAACUCCCCUCUUAUCAUUCCUUCACAAACCAAACCAAAAAAGCCAACAGAAAGCAUCCUUUUCAAAUACAUUUGGGUGCGUCAUAAUUACUUAUAUUUCUGCCAUUUUUUGUUGAUUAGAAUCACCAUCUUUCAGAUCCAAUCUUAGGGUUUCUGUUCUUCUAUGUCUCUUGAAUUCGAUCUCCAUUUCCAUAUAGGAAAUUUGUGAGUGCUUGUUUCAAAUCUGUGAAAUCAAUACACAGAUUGAUAGACUAUUGGUAUAUAAAUACAUAUCGGAAAUAUGGAAGCAAUCGAAGAAUUGCAGCAGCUGUCGGAAUCUAUGAGACAAGCAUCUGCGGUGCUUGCCGACGAAGAUGUUGAUGAAACGACGACGUCUUCUUCUUCCAAACGAUCCUCCACAUUCCUCAAUGUCGUUGCCCUCGGCAAUGUCGUAAGUUCUUCAUCUAUUGUAAUAUGAAUAUGUGUUUUAUGGAUAGGGUGCUAGAUCUUUGGAUCUAAUAUGUUUUUGAAUUGUGGAUGGAAUUGGUGAAUAAUGCAUCUACCUAUAAUUCCGAAAUGUGAGGGCUUGGAUAAUAUUAGGAAUAUGGAGAAAUGCCGGAAGAGUAAGUGAGCUGAAUGUAUAUGUAUUUGUGAGAGCGGGAGGACGCUUGGGUUUCAAAUGAGGAUCAAAAGGCUUGAUGCUUUUCAGUUGCUAACAGAAAUGAAAAACGCACACUAGUUAUACAGAAUGUGUUUUUGGAUACAAUCAGUUUUGAUUUUUCAAGAUGUCAGCUACUACCUGCAUUGAAUUUUUAGUCAUUUUAGUUCUCUAGUGGCUAAGUUUUGAAGAAAACAUGAGCUGAAAUGAGGAUAUGUAUUUCUGCAAUGGUAUAUUUGUUGUCUGAUAUUGGAGAAGAUUCGAUUAGAAGUGCAUUGCUGCAGUUGAUGGUUGUAUGUGGAUACUGUCCUCUUUAUGUUGAUGUAUUUAGUUGCACAUAAUUUGAUGAAAUACCCUCAUAAUGCGAGAAAUAUAUGCUUUCUCUGAGUUAUAAGAAUCUUAGAGAUGAACAAUGGGAUAUGUUUGUUUUGUAAGUAAAUUCCACUAAUUAAAAAAAUAUGUAAUUGAGAUAGGCUUUUUCUUGUGGAUUGUGUUCAUACUGUAAAUGAGGAAAGUGACAUGAUGGAAAGAAGCCAAACAAAAAAAAAAAAAGAAAGAGAUUUCUACCAUAUGGAACUUGUGAAAUGUAAAGCUUUCUCUUUUUUUGCUUCCUUUCUUAAAGGGCAUGUUUUGUGGUUAUUGUGAUUUUUAUGCUGCAAGGCAUUUAACACAUAUCUUUUUGUGGACAUCUUGAGCAGGGUGCUGGUAAAUCUGCUGUCUUCAAUAGUCUUAUUGGACACCCUGUUUUAGUAAGUUAAUUAUGAUUUUGCUUGUUGAAAUUUUGAUUUUCUUUCUGGACUUAUCCUGACUAUUUAUUUUUUAUAUGGCAGCCAACUGGUGAAAAUGGUGCAACUCGGGCUCCAAUAACCAUUGAUUUGAGUAGAGAUAGUUCAUUAAACAACAAGUCUAUCGUUUUACAAAUUGAUAAUAAAUCCCAGCAGGUUUCUGCAAGUAAGGCUUCUUACCAGAUUACCUUCAAAUGUAUAAUUUGAUGUUGUUGCCUUAGAGGAGCCUUAUGUUGCAUGAUUAAUGUAUGCUAAAAGCAUUUUUGCAUGCAUGCAACUUUAUAAAUGUCUCUGUAAAAUUGGUCUUGUAAUGCCUCUGAUGGUGGUUGGCCUUUUAAAUUGGCACAUCACAGGUGCUCUUCGGCAUUCUCUACAGGAUAGGCUAAGCAAGGGUUCCUCAGGCAGGAGUCGUGAUGAAAUAUAUCUGAAACUUCGCACUAGCACAGGUUGGCUCUUGUCUUAUUUACUGUUUAUUAUCAAGGCCUAUUCUUUAAUGUAAGAAAAAAAGGAAAAAAAAAAAAGAAAAAGAAGCAAAAAUAAAUGGUAUGGUGCAAAUUGGAUACAACAAUUCUUGUGAUAAAUUAUAUAAUUACCAAUUAUAGUGGAUUUGCAUCUAGUUAGUACCAUAUACUACUGGUCCACUGGUCUCAUGGUUGUCGGUAGUAGUACCAUUCUUUUCAUUAUGCAUUUCUAUUCUAUUUACACCUAGCUUGUGUCAGUGAUAGAAGUGGUGACUUGAAUGCUGUUUCUUGUUUCAUAAUACGGAGAAAAGGCACAGAACUAAUAUCUCACCAUCCAUGAAAUUAGCAAUAAUGAUAGACUUUAGGCCUCAAUGCCUUGUGAAGUUUGAAUGAGGAUACUGACACCUGUUGUGGAAUUAUUUUUUGAUUUUUUGUUUCUUUUUUUUUUUUUCCAAAAUGGUGUGUAGAUAGAGUUUCUUGUCCCAAAACAUGCCAAAAACUAACCACAAUGUAGGAUGAAUUACAUUUCUAGGCAGAAAUAUGUGUACACUACAUGCAAAAAUAUAUAUGUGCAUUCUGAUUAUUUUUUAGUAUAAUUAAUAUAUUUCUUGAAUUUCAGCUCCGCCAUUGAAAUUGACAGACUUGCCAGGAUUGGAUCAAAGAAUCAUGGAUGAUUCACUGGUGAGUAUAGCUGAAUGUAUAAUUUUCACCGCCACAUUUUUUUGCAAUAUACACACACACACACACACACACACUCUCUCUCUCUCUCUCUCUCUCUCUCUCUCUCUCUCUCUCUCUCUCUAAAGAUGCCAUGUUCAAUUUAGUAAUCAUUAAAGUGUAUAUUUCAGUUUUUAACAUGCUUUAUUUGAACCUCUCUCUCUCUCUCCCCCUUUUUCUUUUUUCCCUCACCCUCUAUUUCAUUUCCUUGUUUCUUUCUGAUGCAAGUCUUUAUGGAAUCUCUUCUAAUAGUUUAAUUUGUUUAUUGUCUCAGAUCAGUGAAUAUGCUGAACACAAUGAUGCUAUUUUAGUAGUUGUAGUACCUGCUGUUCAGGCACCAGAAAUUUCAUCAUCCAGAGCUCUUAGAAUUGCUAAGGAAUAUGACGCAGAGAGUGGGUUAAUUAUUCAGCUUAGUGCUUAUGUGUUUACUGAAAAAAACUAGAAUAUUAUUUUCUUUAUAUUUUCAGGGUUUGAAUUUUUUUUCUUUUUAGAUUUAUUUCUAUAUAUAUAUAUAUAUAUACAGUAAUAUAUUAAUUUUGAUUUCUGUUUUGUUUUAGGUACAAGAACAAUUGGUGUUAUUAGUAAAAUUGAUCAAGCAGCUACAGAGUCAAAAGCUCUUGCUGCCGUUCAGGCACUCCUCAUGAAUCAGGGUCCUCCAAAAACUUCUGAUAUUCCAUGGGUUGCAUUGAUUGGUCAAUCUGUUUCCAUUGCUUCAGCACAAUCAGGAAGUGCUUCAGCUGAAAAUUCUUUAGAAACAGCUUGGCGUGCAGAGAGUGAAAGUCUAAAAUCUAUAUUGACUGGGGCCCCCCAAGGCAAGCUUGGGAGAGUAGCAUUGGUGGAAGCUCUUGCUGGUCAGAUUCGUAGUCGUAUGAAACUCAGGCUUCCAAAUCUUCUCUCUGGGUACUUUUUCUUCUGCUACUAUAACUUUUCUUAAAUAAAUUAUUUAUUUAUUGAACAAAUGGUUGAAGUUCUAUCACUAAUUUCCCUGCUGCAGUUAUUUUUGUGUGGCCAAUAAUUUCUUAUUAUUACACUUUCUUUUCUAUACAGAAAAGAUUAGAAUAUCAUGUAUCAAAAGAUAAUUGCUAGAUUCAGUUAGGGAUUGAACUAUAUCAUCAAUCUUUGUGCCUGUCCACUUCUAAUGUUAUCAUUCAUUAACAAAUUGCAGGCUUCAGGGGAAGUCUCAAAUCAUUCAGGAUGAACUAGUGAGGCUCGGUGCACAAAUGGUUAGUAGUUCUGAAGGCACAAGAGCUUUGGCUUUGGAGCUCUGCCGUGAAUUUGAGGACAAAUUCCUUCAGCACCUUGCAGGUGGUGAAGUAAGUAAUUUCUAUUAAAAACUGCAUAUGUGUCGUUAUUUUCUUAUGUCUGCAAGAGGGACUUCUGUAUGUAUAAGAAAAGUAUACUAUGUUUAAUGAGAAAAAAGUUCUCUGAAAGGUUGAAGUUGGCCAAAUGAUCCUACAGGCCUGUGUACUUACAACGAAUUUGCAAUUGAACCUUUAAAGUUGCGGUGACAAUUUAUUCUAUUAUGAACCAACAAUUAUCCCUUGUGCAUGUAUUCGUAGGCUCUCGUUUAGUUCUCGUUUGGUCCAAUUUGACAAUUGACUGCUUUUGACUCUCUAUUAGGCUUGACAGGAUAUUUUGUUAUGACAUUAUUAUGGUUUUUGAAUGCAUUGCAGGGUAAUGGAUGGAAAGUUGUAGCGAGUUUUGAGGGAAAUUUUCCAAACAGGAUCAAGCAGCUUCCUUUAGAUAGGCAUUUUGACAUGAAUAAUGUGAAAAGGGUAUGCUUUCUCUUUUAGUUAGAUUCUGGAUUCGUUUAAUUAUAAUAUUUAUAGGUGUUUUUAUAGUGGUUCAUUUUGUAACAUCAGAUUGUCCUAGAAGCAGAUGGUUAUCAACCUUAUCUUAUAUCCCCGGAGAAAGGGUUAAGGUCCUUAAUAAAAGGUGUUCUGGAGCUGGCAAAGGAGCCUGCACGUCUAUGUGUAGAAGAGGUAUGAUUCUAUGUGUGCUGUGAGGUUAUAUAGUUUAAUUUUUUUAUAGCUUCUUCAACUCUUUUAGAUUAAAGAAGCAAGAUGUUUUAUAAAAUUCUGUAAAAAAUGGGGAAUUGUUAAGCCAAUAUGAUAUCGUUGUGCUUACUCAGGCAUGUACAAUCUUGUGUUGUGAACUUGUCUAAAUGGCAUUUGUUAGCAGUCUUCUAAUGCCCAUGUCAAUGUGCAACAGCUGUAAAUCAUUUUGCAUAAAUGCAUAUCUAGUGGAUUCAUUAUAGAUGUGAUUUACUUUUACAUGCUAUGGUCUGCAGGAUGACCAUGUCUUGCCAUGUGAAAUCUAGUUGAAGUCAUAUCCCUACUCAAAACAGUCAAAUAUUUGAUAUCUAUUUUUCGUUGCUUCAUAAAAUAAAUUCAUUUUAUAGGUAUGCAAGACUGUUCACUUCACUUUCAUUAUUUUUAUCAUAGACUUCCUCCCUUUUUUUUUUGCUAUUUCCCCAGUGUUCCCUUUCUGCAAUAGGAAAGACAAUUGAAACAUUGAUGAGUGGAUUUGUUCUAUUGUGCACACAGCGUUUUGCAGCAAAUCUAAAUAUGAACAUGAAAUCCAUGGAUCUAUAUGUUGUUUUUCCUACUAUUAUAACUAUUGUUUAAGCCGAAGUUGGAUGUCCAUUAAAAUAGGUACAUCGUGUACUGGUGGAUAUAGUAUCUGCUGCAGCAAAUGCCACUCCUGGUCUUGGAAGAUAUGCUCCCUUUAAGAGAGAGGUAUUACUGCACUCAGUGUAAUUUUAUAUGCUUCCUUUAGGGAAUUUCUUGUUCUAUGAUUAUUAAUUUCAGUUGUCAAUUUUUCAAUCAGAUUGUGGCAAUUGCAAGUACUGCUCUUGAUGGCUUUAAGAAUGAUUCUAAGAAAAUGGUAGUCGCCCUGGUGGAUAUGGAGCGUGCAUUUGUGCCACCUCAACAUUUCAUCCGAUUGGUGCAAAGGCGGUAUGUUCCAUAUUUACAUGUUGAUAAACACUGGAACUCUUUCCUUUUUUUUUUAAUACGAUGUAUGUGCUUUUACUCUUGACCAUUCACCUUAGAGAUCAAGCUUUUUGUUGUUUAGUCCCUUUUGUAGUGUUUUGCUGUUAUUUCCAUUACAUUACUCUAUUUUGUUCUAUUUACCAUAGGCAGGUCCUUUAUUAUGAACUUAUUGUAGUUUAUGUUAUGGAUUAUGUAUCUCUUUCUAAAGCAGGUGAUCCACCAAGGGAUUGAUGAAAAGCUAUCUAAAUUUCUUCUUCUUCUUUUUUUUUUUUUUUUUUUGUGGUUAUGUCGCAACUAAAGAAUGUAUUCUUGAAAUGAAAAGAUAAGAGUUAAUUUCAUCAUCAGUUAAUGAUUCCUAAAACAUUUAUUGGAAUAAAUUUUAUUUAACAUGAUAUGCUGCCUCAAGUAUACAUUUUGCUCCAUCAAAUGCUAAGCGUCUUUCUUUUUUGUCUGUAGACUAUGCUGGUUUAUAUAAUUGUUUGAGAAGAAUAUUACAAUGGAAAUUGAAGGGCUUCCGAUGCCUGUAUUUCCACCUUAAGUAUGAGUAGGUUAAUGUAGGUUUUAUGUAACUGCUUAUUCAGUUUGUAUGCUGAAAUUCUCUAUUGGUUUUUAAUUGUGGUGCAGCUUGUGAUUUAUCAGCUUUGUAUAGAUUUCUAUGUUGCCUGUUUGAUAGUUUCAUCUUUGAUCCCCAGAAUGGAUAGGCAGCGUCGUGAGGAAGAGAUAAAGAACAAAUCCUCUAAGAAGGCAAAUGAAGCAGAGCAAUCCAUACUAAAUAGGGUGUGGAUUUAUUAAUUUCUCUAAACUUUAUCUGUUACUUGAGUUCAAAGUAUAUAGUACUUUAUCUGUGUUAUUUAUUAACUAAUUGCCAUUUUCUCCUAGGCAACUAGUCCUCAAACAGGAUCCCAGCAGUCUGGAGGAAGCUUGAAAUCAAUGAAGGAUAAUAAAUCUGAGAAAGAUUCACAAGAGGGAUCAGCCUUGAAAACAGCAGGGCCUGGCGGUGAGAUAACAGCAGGUUUGUGCUCAAGCUUUCUGAAUAUCAGCUUCCAAAUAAUAUUGAAACUACGUUCUAUUUGAAUACAUAUAUUGUAUGACAUAGUUCAUAUGAUCAGACACUGGUGCACAAACACAUGUAAAUGUAAUUUGCUUGCUUGAAUUUUCUUUUCUUUCUUUCCUUUUUUUCCUUUUUUUUUUUUUCUGAUUAAUGAGUAUAUUUCAACUAGUUUGGUAUUAAGGCUUAGUUGUUGUUGUAAUGAGUAUAUUUCAAUUUUUUUUUUCUUGUGCUAUAGGCAUAUGCAUUUGCAAAGUUGUCGAUACCAUCUGUGGCUUCUGGAUUUCUAUUGAUAUGAAGUAUCUUGGUAUUGGUGCAUUUGGUUGUCCAUUUUGGCAUUAUUGCUAAAAUAUAAACCUUUGAAACGUAUACAUAUCUUAUGAAAUGCAUGUGCAUUUUCCCUCCACUCUCACCUUGGGCUUGCAAAAUGUGACACACACAGCAAAUGGUGUUCCUAAUGCAAUGUGCCAAUGUUUUCUUUCUUCUACCACACUUCUUGAGGACAGUUUGUUACCGUGCUCAAAUCUAGUGCUACAUCCCAUGUUUAAAUGUGGACAAAAAUAUGGAACAAAAAGCUGGGUAGAGUAUAUUAACAAGUUGGUCCUUUCUUUUUCUUUCUUCCUUUUAAUUACCGCUUUUCAGUAGAAGUUAGGAGAGCUGUUUUUCUUCUUUUCCUAUCUGGUGUCCUUUUUCUUUUGGUACGUAUUGUUAAUUGAUAUGCUGCAUCUGCAACAUUUGAUGCAUUCAAUUCUGUAGAUUGGCACUGUAUGACUAGAGCCCUUGUGGAAGCACCUUUAUUCAACUAUUUUUCAUUUCCCUCUCAAAAUCUAAAAUUGCUUUAUGAGUGUACUUUGAACAAUGAUUAAGCUAUUAAAUAUGACUGCUUCUCAUAGAUUACCUUAUGUUUUUUCAGGAUAUUUAUUGAAGAAAAGUGGAAAAACAAAUGGUUGGAGUAAACGUUGGUUUGUAUUGAAUGAAAAAAGUGGCAAGGUUAGUAUAUAUACAGGAAUUUGACCUACAUAAAAUGAGAAGUGCAUGAAAGUUUUCUUUUUCAAUCUGGUACUCUUGAAAUUAUUCUUUAACAAUCAGGAUGUUGCCUUUACUUUUUCUGGCUCUUGUAGUGCUCUAUUCAUGUUGGCACAUACACUGCCUUUACAUUCUUUUUAUGUAGGAUUAUCGAAGAUGUCAAUGGCUUGCUACUUUGCUUAAAAUAAAUUUGGCACUUGAAAUUGAAGAUGGAAAAGCAAAAUAUGGACAUCCCAAAUUCAUUAUAUUAUAUAAUAUCAGUACCUUAUCAUAAAUAAAGUAGUUUUCAAAUUUUGCUGAUUGCUAUUGUUGCCGUGACUCUGAAAAUGUUUAUGAGAAAGCUAAAUUUACUGCCUUCUUUAUUGGCCUCUUAAUAUGCUUGUUUGCAUUAAUGUUCUUUUGUUGAUGAUAGUAGAACCUGUAUCCUGAUUUGCAUAUCUUUAUACUAUUUAACUUGUAUUGCAGCUUGGUUACACCAGAAAGCAGGAAGAAAGACAUUUCCGAGGUGUCAUUAAUUUGGAGGUAAGAACUUCAAUAGGACAGAGAGAAGUUUUAAUUGAUAAGAAAAUGAAUAAAUAAAUAAGUCCAUAUCGACUAUAAUAAAUGAAAUUUGGACUGGUUCAUAUUUGGUAACUGCUUAUAUGGAUUUGUUUGCCCAACAAGGCUCGUUAUGCCAUUUAUGAUUAAAGUUGGCUAUGGUUGGGAAUUUUCUCCACGGUAGUGUAAUAGAUUGUUUGAAACUUGUAUGGUAAACAUGGUAUCUGCAGAAAUAUUUGUAAACUUGUAAAUAUGUUAAUCAUAAAUUUUCUAUAAUUUCAGAUUUAUUUUGUAUAUUAGAAGUGCUGCUCUUCAAAUUUUGAAGUGUAGGUAUUUAAUUUCUGAUGGUUAAGGAUUUACUUGCACGUGUUUUGGGGCAAGUUAUUUUAUGAUGAUGCAAUGCACAUGCGACAAAUAGUUGGAAUAUUUGAGUAGACUGGAUGCUAGUUUGAGAGGAUUUCAAAUAGGAGAAAUAAUGAUAUGUAAAUGUUUUAAGGAAUGGCCAGGUUAUUUUAUGAUGCAAUGCAUAUGCUACAAAUAGUUGGAAUAUUUGAGUAGACUGGAUGCUAGUUUGAGAGGAUUUCAAAUAGGAGAAAUAGUGAAACGUAAAUGUUUCAAGGAAUGGCCUAUGCAUUCUGUUUUUAGCCACUAGGAUCCAUUCAGUUUGGGUCGUUUUGAGUUGGAGGAGAUGAACUUUGUCGGAAAUGACGAGUACUAAACCUGAAAAAAUGAACUCUUUGAUAUUUAAAUUGAAUGAACUAACUUAAACUUUUAACUAUAGAUACUUUCUUUUAUAAAAAUGAAAUAGAAAGUCCGUUCGAAAACAAGCAAAUGGUUUACACUCUUAGCUGGAAGUUGUAUAAUGGGAGAAGAUGAUAAAUUUGCUAGGUUGUUGCUGUUAACCCAUUAUUUCUACAGUGACUGUUUGAAUUAAUGCUCAUGCCAAUCUAUGGACUUACACAAUCAGGAAUGCAAUAUUGAGGAACUUUCUGAGGAUGAAGAAACCUCAUCAAAAAGUUCUAAGGAGAAGAAGGCAAAUGGACCAAGUUCUGAAAAAGGAGCUGGUCUUGUUUUUAAGAUAACCUGUAGAGUUCCAUAUAAGACUGUCUUGAAAGGUAUUAGUGUUUAUCUUUGGCUUUCUUUCGCUAUGUUAUAUAUAUUGUACUGCUUUUCCAUUCUCACUAUGCUUGAGCCAAUUGAUUAUCUUUUAUUUAAAAUAUUUUUUUCCCGUCUUACAGCUCACAGCACUGUUGUGUUAAAAGCUGAGACUAUUGCUGACAAGGUUGAGUGGGUAAACAAGCUAAGAAGUGUCAUCCAGGCUAAAGGAGGUCAAGUUCCUGGCGACUCUGGUCUUCCCAUGCGUCAAAGUCAUUCUGAUGGUUCACUUGUGAGUUUCUUGGUGCACAUUGUUUUCUGUUCAUUUUUUUUUUUUUUGUAAAAGAACACGACAGAGAUAAAUGCAUGUUAUGUGUCUGUAUUGGGAUUUCAUACUUCCUGCUUUCUCUUAGUGACUAGAAGACUGGUGCAAAUUUGUAGGAUACAAUGACAACGACUAGAAGACCAGCGGACCCUGAAGAAGAGCUCCGGUGGAUGUCUCAAGAAGUACGCGGUUAUGUCGAAGCUGUUCUUAACAGCCUGGCUGCCAAUGUCCCAAAAGUAUUUCUCUUCCCAAUAUUAAUAGCCUCGUUGGUAUUUAGCUUGGUUUUUCAAUAGUUUCUCUAACAUUUUAUCAACUUUCUGGUUCAACAGGCGGUUGUUCUUUGCCAAGUAGAGAAGGCCCGGGAAGACAUGCUUAAUCAGCUUUACAGUUCCAUUAGGUUGGUAGUUUUCUCUUGUAACUUGUGGAUCUGCGAUAUCUUCUUGUACUGAUUGAUAAAUGCAAACAAUGAACCCAUCCUUUUAUUGGCUUAAGACAUUGCAAUGCCUGAUGAAAUUCCAUAUGCAUGUUCUCGAAAAAUGUAAAGAAUAACGUACACUGACAAAAUUCUUGUUUUGUAUAUAUAUUUUUUCCCUUUUUCAUCGUGGCUGAAUUAUUGUUACUAAAGGUCUUUACUUCAUUCUUAUCCUUUGGCGGUGGUAGUGCCCAAAGCACUGCAAGGAUUGAAGAGCUGCUUCAGGAGGACCAGAAUGUAAAGCGUAAGAGAGAGCGUUAUCAAAAGCAGUCCUCUGUUCUUUCAAAACUUGUAAGGCAACUUAGCAUCCAUGACAAUCGAGCAGCAGCUGCUUCUGGCUGGUCCAGUGAUGGUGUUGGAGCAGGUAAUGGCAGAUACUGACAUGCCGAUUUACCUUUUUCUUUGGUAUGUUGUGCAUGCACAAUUUGUCUUGCCUGUGCAGGUUUCCUUUUGUUUUGGAAAUUGGAACAGACAUAGUUUCUUCUUUGGAAGCAACUUCAUGAAGCUGGUCUUCCUAAUGUUUAUACUUAUAUCAUAGUGCAUGUCUUAAAUGCACAACUGAUUUCACUUGGACCUCAGUUCUUUAGUUCCUUUUCAAAAAAGGACUUCUGACUUUUUAAUAAUUAGCAGUUUGAUGUAUGAUAGCUCAGACAAACUCGAUUGAUUAUAAACUGCUGACACUCCUAAAACAUUUACGAGUAAUUCCCAAUUGCUAAAAUUCAAAACAAGCAUGGUUGAGCAUAAUCUGCUUCUAAUCCUAAUGAGAAUACCUUUUAUACAUUUUGUGUUACUGACUGAGAUUAUCCAGUAUUAAAUACUAAAUUUUGUACAGAGAGUAGCCCAAGAACAAAUGGGUCUUCAUCGGGAGAUGAUUGGAGGACAGCAUUUGAUGCUGCAGCUAAUGGACGUGCUGACCCGUACAGAUCGCACAGUCGACGUUACAGUGAUCCUCCUCAAAACGGUGAUGCAAAUUCAACCACAAACAACAGUCGCCGUACACCAACUCGGAUGCCACCAGCACCACCUCCAUCCGGCUCAUCCUAUAGAUAUUAGAUAAGAGGUUUGACGAUACCAAUUGAUCAUUCGUGCAAAUCUUGUUGGCUGGGUGGUUUGCUUCCACUCCAGAUGGGAGCAUUUCUCAAGCUCACAUCAUGUUAUGGUAGCUUUUGUAGGAAGGUUAAUAGGUUUUGUAGAUAUAUAAUGCAGUUACAAGUGCUUGAUUUUCAGGUGUAUCAUGUUCAUUAAAUUUUUUAGUCCAUAAUUCCAUUUUGUUGUCAGGCUGGUCGAGGCCAUCUCUCUUUUUUUCCCUUCCAAUAUCAGAUGCUCCAAAAUACAAAUGACAGUUGUAUUUGUUGUACUGAAUCUUAUUAGAAAAAGUAUUUUUUUUCUCCUUCGGUUUAUCUCUCAAAAUUGGUUGGAGCAGAGCUUGAUGAUUCUCAUUUUAUGCGUUUACAAUCAGAAUGAUGAGACCUAAGUUUGCUUUUAGCAUUUUGUUGAAGUCAUAUAUUUAUAUACAUGUUUUUUUCAUUCAGUGAAUGUAAUUGCACAUACAGAACCCAUAUCUUUUUCCACAAGUUACAGAAAUGUUAACCAAGUUUAUUCACCUUCUGUAAUUAUGGUGUUGCAGUGACUAGAUAUGCAUAGUAAUUUUCAGAUAUAAUAAAUUUAAUUUUAGAAGAUUGUUUAAUUUGGACUCUCCCAUUUUUGUUCCAUUUUUUUAAUUAGGGAACAGGAGAGAAUUCUCUGCAGCUUCAACCUACCAGAUGUGUCUUUCAAAUUUCUAGUUUGAAACCCCUUAAUUCAAAAUUAAAACUUUGUACUUAUUUUUCAUGUUGGAAAACAAAAAAAUUGGGAAAAAUACCAACAAAAAACUAAAUGGGAGAGAGAUGAUGAAACUUUUCUUUAUACCGUCAUUUUGAAUGCUAAAUAAGGAUUGGCAAUAGAUGUUGUUGUAUCUAUGUACAGAUUCUUGAAACUAAGAUUUUUUAACUAUAAUUAUGGAUUUGAAUGAAAGGAUAAAUACAGAAUUAUCAUAAAGACUGACUAAUCAUUCAUUAUACUCUCCUUGAAGGGAGCAGAUUCACGUAUUAGUUUCAUUACAAGAUGUACCUGCAAGGAAGAAGUCAUUAAUUAGACAAACACAAUAAAACUAAAAUCAAGACAAAAUUACCAACGCAUUGGUAAUAAAAGGAGCAUUGUCAAUUUGGUGCUAUUUAAGCUUUCAUUAUGGUUCAAUGAAUAAUGAGAAUAUAUAAUAUACAAAAACAAGAAAGGGAAGAUUUUUGAAGAUGCAAUUACCUGAGAUGCUUCUCGCACGAGAAAUUCCCCUAUAGCUUUCCUGAAAGCUUCGUCAACUAGGUAAUGGCAACUAUAGGUUGUCACAGGCAGAUAACCGCGCUGAAUUUUAUGUUCACCCUGAGCUCCUGCUUCAACUGUGCUCAGAUUAAGUUCAAUGGCUGCUUCUAUGGCCUAUAUAUGAAGAAUAGGUAUUGGAUAAAUGAUCAUUUGUUCAUUUUCAUACAUUGAUGACUUCAAAAUUUUAUAUUCAUGUCAAUGCCAUGGUAUGGAUUCACAAUGAAACAUCAUACUUGGGACUCAAUGACUGGGAAUCUUUUUCCGCUAUUUCUUUACCUAUAGUAAGAGAAACGUAAAAACAGAAAACUUCAAGUAAUAAGAUAUGAACCUGGUAAUAGCAUGCUUCAAAAUGCAAACUAGGAUAAUAGGCUCUCGGCUGACAUCCCCAUAGACGCCCAUAUAGAGUAUCCCCACCAAUAAGAUUGAGAGCUCCUGCAACGAGUUCAUCCCCUUCUUCAGCAACAACAAGUAAUACCUGAUCUCCCAUCUUUGAUCCCAUGGUGUGGAAGAAAUCUUUUGUUAGAUAAGGAGUGCCCCACCUACGGAAAAAUCAAACUAAACAUAAAAAAUGUGGAUUUUGAAGCAUCUCAUUUAAUUCAACUAAAUCUGACAAGCUGAAUUCUAGCAAAUAUAUAAGUACAUAAAUUUUGUUUGAAAGCGGGUAAAAGGAGCGUAACGCUAUGGACCAAACUUGUUAUCAGUGGUGUUCCUGUAGAAGUCAUAGAAGGUAUCCCAAUGUCUAGCCUGCCAAACAUGGUAGUCAAAAGAAAAUGAAUUAACAUCAGAACACAAGUGACUUUUAGCCUGCAAAUGUCAAUGCAGAAAUCAAGCACCAAUUGAUGUCUAUAACAACUAUGGCAAGAAGAGUAGAAGACCCACAAAUUGAUUGCUUGAAUUACUCCCAACGUAUGAGUUUUUUCAGUCAUCAUAAACCUUUUUCUUUUUUUGAGAAGACUCGUAAUAAACUUUUGACAGAAUAUUAUAUUGAUAGUUUAACCCUGUACUUCAAUUCCCAAACAAGGGAAAAGACUGCAAUAAAACUAAGAAGCAUGAGUGGUAAAAUACAUAUGAUGCAAUCAAGCUAUGGCCUUAUGUGAUGACAACACAAAUUAAAAUAUUGAUUGUUUUGAUAGCAAUUCGAAAACACACCUAAAGAUGGCUGAUUAGUGGUCAAAUCAUUAUCAUUAAAUGCACAUGUUUCUCUCACCACUGGUCACAUGGUGUUUUAAAAUGGUAUUUUUUUUUUUUUAGAAAAAACAAUGUGUGUAAAAUAAGUGCACAUUUGGUGUCCUUUUUCUAGCAUUUGGAGUAUAUGCUGACAAAAACUCUCCAAAAUUAAUUCCCAAAGGCUAAUAACAAGAUUGACAAACCUCUGGUCACGAUACCAGAGAACUUCGAAGAUUGAAAAAAACUUUAGGUUCUUGAAAUCACAGUUUGUUUUUCAUUCAUAUACAUUAAGGCAUAUAAAGCUUCUUUUUUCGUGAUCUAGAUUCCUUUUGUAACCAGACUUAGGCAUACAAAAGCAAUAGCUUUCUUUUCUCUGAGCAUCAAUACCCCUACAUGCCCCUUCUUAUUAACCCUACUUUUGGUUGGCAGUCCCUUCUUUUUUCAAAUGUAAAACAUGUUGACUACACGAGCAAACACUACAGAUGUAUGCUUCCAGAUUUAAUCGCAAACUUAUUCCCAUAUUUGCAUUCAUCUGAUACCAUUGCUACACAUCAAUAAACUCUGAAACCAAGAUCCGCAAAAGCUAUACUAAUUCGGUAUAUUUUAAAGAAACCUUUGGUAAAAUAUUGACGAUCUCACAAGAUGAAAUUUCAGUAAUAACAAGACAAAAGCACCCUACCACCAGUAAACUUGUAAUGCAAGUUCACAAGGUCAAAUGGAGUUGAACAAUGACAAGUGAAACUCAAUUAUUAGCAUAAAUUGCGAUCCGAUUAAAGAAUUAUACAACAAAAUUAAUGAUGAAUGUGAAAUUUACAAAUAUAGACAAUCAAGUACCUUUAUUUGAAAAAAAAAAAAGUUACCUUUAUUUCAUAACCCCGAAGCCGUUUCAUGGUCAAAUUUUGUGUUGCAAUCUGCAUUUUAGAAAGUUGACCCAGAAAAUGUUGACUUGCAUGAAAAUAGACGCUAACUCAUUAUGGAAGCACUUAGAAAUUUAAAUAACUUGAGGAACAUACAUAACUUGAGCGAGAGGGGGCCCAAAUUUAUUUAUAAAUGGAAAAAGAUUGUAUUCAACGAUACUAAUAUAUAUAUAUAUAUAUAUAUAUAUAUAUAUAUAUAUAUAUAUAUAUAUGUAAUUAAUAAUAUAUUUUAUUAUAUUCAUAUAUUGAUAUUAAUUUUAUUAUACAAUUCAAUAUUUUAAUAUAAUAAUAUAUUAUUAUUGUAUUCUAAUUAAUAGUAUUUUAAUUAUAUCCAAAGUAGCUUAGAUCAUAUUACCUUCUCCCCCCAACCCUUCCCCCUUUCCUUAGCAAGUCAUUAUGUGCCAAUUCAUAUUCAUCACAAGCAUCUGGUCAGUCUCAUUUUGCAUGGUUAUUGGGAAGAUCCUAAAUGUUACUUGAGGAUAUAUCAAGAUAUUGUGAGGAUAAUGCCAAUCAAUAUUAGCAGCUUUCAGAAUCAAGAUUCGGUUUUGAAACCAGCAAAAAAUGUGAAACGCCAUAGGCUUGUAUACUCCUAAUUCAAGCCAGCCCAUUUAUUUUAUAGACAAAUUCUCUUCGCAAUGAGGUUCCUUACAGUGGCUCUUACAUGUUAAUUUAUGCAAUAUUUUAAAAUUAUAUUAUGUGAUUUCCUAAACCUUUCUAUGAUUAACACACCUUUUCUUUGAUUAAAAAAUGAGUUGCAUCCCUCCUCUUGAUAUGACAACGAAUGAUUGUGACCAAGAUAUUUUUCCUUAUCAGGCAAUCGUAACCGACACUAAACUAUGUUGAUUCACUGAACAAUAAAUAUGUCACCAUAAUGCCAUUUUUCUUUAAGGAGAAAUAAAAAACAAAGAGUUUUUAGCAAUAAUCGACAUAUGCAUAUCCUUCUGUGUGUUUACUACUACCAAUAACCCAAUUUACAAAAGAUUAAGAUCCAUUGCUCUUGAGACCAAGUGAAAGGUAUUCCAAGGGGUUGUUGCACGUCCCAAUUCAAAACUCAUGCAGGGAGUGGGUAGCAUAAAGAAGAAGACGAAAUGCACCUUUUUGCGUUCUUGACGAAUAUUUUUCCUUUUACUUUGCUUCAUAUCCAUCAAGAACUCAUCAAAACUGCAUUGCCAAAUGGAAAUGUUUGUCAAAAUUUUAUGCUAACACGUUUGACAGAAGAAAAUGAAUGAAUUACACAUGAUAAAAUGUAAGGGCCUAAAAAUAUGCUGUGGAGAGGAACACAAAGUAACAUCUUUAAGGAACUCGCUAAUGAUAAUCUCAAAAUUAAUAAACUCUUCAUAAUUGUAAUCCUAGAUCUUCACACUUUCAGAAAGAUCCCAGGCUUGAUCUAAUUUAGUACCAAGGUGAUACAAAAUUUCAGGAAAAGUCAAAUUAGUUUUGAGGGUGGAGAAAUUUGAUGACGGGAUAUGGAUGGGAACCAACUGUACAAAAGCACACUGAAAAUUAUGUAAUAUGUACAAGAAAACUUUUAAGCAAAUCUGAAAAUAAUCAUUCACCCUAAAGAAGUAUGUGAAAAUAGUCAGCAUAAGAGUUGAACUAGGAAAGAACAGAGUGUGAUAUAUUUUAAUGUAAACAUCACUAAGAAAACAGCUACUGUUUCACUAACUUUUUAUAAUUACGAUUUUUCCAAUGGUACUGCAUUGCGAUCCUCUGCAAGAAUCCUUUUUCCUUCAGUUUGUGCCACUCCUUUUCUGAGGGAAAGGUAAUGUGCAGCGAUGAAACCUGGGACUGCGAUGCAUGGCACUAUAUUAAUAAGAAUAUUACAUUUUAAAAGAGAACUAAUUUUUGGGUUCUUAAAAAACAUGAAAUAUAAAUUCUUCAAAAGUGUAAUCUGAACAUAACAGACUAACUGACAAGUUCCUUUGAAAGAAAAUGUAACAAUUACAAAAACUCUGAAAUCAAUGCACAAAUUCCUUCAACAUUAAACUAUUAAAUGUGUAUUUCUCACAUAAAUCACUUAAGUGAGAAACAAAUGUUAAAAUAGAAUGAGAGAGAGAGAGAGAGAGAGAGUGAUUCAUGAGACAUAGAAAUAUUUGCAUUUGGAUUUGCUAGUUAUAACAACAUAGAAUAAAAACAUGAAUGAAAACAGAGAUGCUAUAAUAUGGUUUUCUCAAUACCUUCACCGUCAGAUCCUUUAGGGAAGAAACUAUAAUGUCAAAAACUUGAUCUCUAAAUGACGUAUUGCGGACUAAUAUUCUUGGACCAGUUACCGGAGUGAAAGGUACACAGCAUUGGAACUUUGGAUAAUAUCUUGAUCCAAAACCAUAGUAGGCAUCAGCCCAUGAAUGAUCAAAAACAAAUUCACCAUAUGAAUGGCUGUACAUCCAAAACAAUACACAUGAGAUAACACCUAAGCAAUAAAAAGAUUCAGUGGAAGCUCUGAAGGAAUUCUAGAAGAUUCUAUAUGAGACUUUGCUUUAUGAACAUAGUGGAUACUGAACCUCUUAAGAUAGAGUGGAACAACGCCUACAACAUUUUCACAAUCAUCCUUUGCAACAAUGUGGCUAGGCAUCCAUCCAGUUUCCUGGAGUCAGUGAAAGUGAAAAUUUAGGACAUAAGUGUAAUUUCAAGCUGGUUUUUAGCAUUCACAGAGAUCAAUACCACCAAUCUAACAAAUCAUAUAUUGCCAAAUAUCCUCUAGCAAUGAACAAUCCUUUGAGGAGUUGAAGUGGUUCACUCUCAGAGAGAAAAUUUGUAAAAUAAAUUCACAUAUAGCCCUUUAGAUUUACUCAAAAAUGAGAGAACCAGUUAUCUCAAGUAAGAUUGUCAAUUCUUUUUUCUUAAUAUCAGCACCAAUCUAUAAUUUUUAAUGUGCAUGUUCAAAUGAUAUGUAAACCAAUAAUUAAUUGUCACAAUCUUCAAGAAGUUCACAUGUAGCAAAAUGUUAACCUUCACAGCACAACGUGACUCUUCCAAGCUUGAAAGAAAACCAUGGGUAAGAAAUGGAUUGAGUUUUUCAGGGCCUGUAGCGUCCAGAUUACAGGCAUCCCAUUCAUCUGGUGAGACCUCAGAAAUAGAAGAAAUCACUGAAACUGAUAUCUUUUUGGGUAUCACUUGGUUCCCUGAACCUUCCUGAAUUUAAAAUCACUAUUCUGGAAUCAGCUAUUGAACACAGAGAAAAAGAGACAAAACAUUCAUAGUUACUGUGGAACCAUCAAAUGCAAACACCUCUGAGCCUGACCCUGUUAGAGUGAAAUCCUCAAGUGAAAAGUCUGAUACUUUUGGCUCUUGUGACUUCUUUGAUCCCCAAAAUAGUGCAGUAAUUUUGUGUUCCUGCACAAAAUUACUGACUCUUGGUCUGGAUGAUGAUUUUCCCUACAGUUAUGAUAACCAAAGAAUAAGGUCAAUCAAACAGGACCAUGCAUUUGUGAGCAUACAUAAAAGUUAAAUGAGUAAGAUAGUAUGAAACAAAAGUGAUACAGUUCUGAUUAAUUGACAUAGACUUUAUUAUUUCAAAUAUGUAGAACAAAGUCAACAUUUACAAGACAAGUUGAUAUCUCUCUCUCUCUCUCUCUCUCUCUCUCUAUAUAUAUAUAUAUAUAUAUAUAUAUAUAAAAUAAGUUCAUCACACCAUCUAAAGGACUCUGAAGUACAGUAUGCAGUACCGCUUAAGGCAAUUACAUUUGCUUAAGGGUUACAACUCAUGUGAGACCGGAAUUAUGUGCAAUCAAUCAAUUAGAGUAUUUUGUACCAGAAAAUAAAUGAAGUAAACCAUUGGACUGAUAUCACAAAAAUGAGUAAAUGAAGAAGCAGCUUAACUAUGCAAGUUAAAAGGAAUAAAAUUAAACCACGCCUUCAUGUCUAUCAUACAUGAGAUAGCUCUUAACCAAUCCUCAUUGUUAUAGGUGCUCCAAGACAACAAAUUUAGUCGGUUCCAACAAUUCAAGAACUUUCCUCAUCUCAUUAUUAGCAAUAGCUCGUUACCGUCAUCACACUUAGAAUGCAUAAACAAAUAUCCAAAAAAGGUAUGCCAUGUAAUAGAACAUCUCUCACAAAUUCAUGGUAUCAGUACUGAAAAAAUUCCCUGCUAAAAUUCAAUCUUGGUGGGUGUUGCUUGAAUGGAAAGAACUGGAUAAUCUUAUUCUUAUAAAGGUGUAAGGGCCUUAAUAGAGCAAGAACGGGGAAUCACACUCACAUUUCAGGGAUUUUUGCCGAAUAUUCCGAAAAAGACUUGCGGUAGAGAAAACUACUUCGGUUGAAUUUCCAAAUGAAGCAAAAUAAUACUUACUCCAUGAUAAUAUCAUCAGGGAAAUAUAUAAUCAUGAAGAAAACAGACCUCAAAUAACAGCAAUUUGAGAUGAGUUUUCUUGCACAGUACAAUCAUGAACAAUUCACUCACUUCAUUUAGUUUCAUUUAGCUUGAACUCUAUGCAAAAGAAUGGAGCAUUCACAAAAAUAAACAAAUACCCAUAGCAAAGGUUAAUCUUUUUGGCAUAAAAUUUUCAGAAAAAAAAAAACCAAAACACUAAUUCAUAGCAGUUCGAAGACACGAAAGAUCAGUGCAUAUAAGCAUACAAGAAAUGAUGAAAAAGACAAAAGGGACUAACAGAGUAAGAUGAGAAUUGGCCGAGAAAGGGCGAAGGCUUGCAGUAGCUCACUACUGCUGCCAUGGCCACACACAGUCAGCUCCCAAUUUGAUUUGAUUGCUCUCUCAAUGCUUCUCAACAAACAAAGAACAAAAAGAAAUUACAAUAUACAAAAAGAAUGUCGCUUUAUCAUGCCACGUCCCAACUAGCAAGUAAUGGUGCCAGAUUUUUUUCCUUUCUAAUUUUUGUGCCUAUAAUUAUUGUUUUUUAACUUCAGUUUUCUUUGUUUAAAUCAAAAUUUUAAUCUAAUUUCAGGGAUUAUUUGGUUUUUUCUUUUUUUGAAGAAUAUUGGUUUUUUAAUAACUAAUUAAUAAUUAUAUUUAAUAAAUUUGAUGAUUGGAUUAACAGGUUAAAUGUAAUAAUCAACGGUUUAAAUUUAUCAUCGAAAUAUUGAAAAUUUUAAUAAAAUAAUUAAUAAAUGAUUAAUUAUUUUAAACAAAUUGAAAUUAUCAAGAAGGAAAAAAAAAAAAAAAUCAAUGCAAUUCACUUAUAUAGACAAAAUAAGGAGGCAAGUGUACAUUUUGUUCUAUUUCAGAAGUCUUUUUGUAGUUUCUGUAUUUUUACUAGCAAAACGCAUCGUUUCCACCAGCCAAAAGCCCUACUGCCCCGCUAUAUAAAACACAAUAUCCCUCCUUUCUCCGUCUGUGUUCCACUCUCAAACCCUAAAAAUGGCAGCGGCUCCAAUUGAGUCAGUCCAGUGCUUUGGGCGCAAGAAGACUGCUGUGGCUGUCACCUACUGCAAGCGUGGAAGAGGCCUAAUCAAGAUCAAUGGAUGCCCAAUCGAACUAGUGGAGCCUGAGAUCCUCCGUUUCAAGGCUUACGAGCCAAUCCUUCUUCUUGGACGACAUCGUUUUGCCGGUGUCGACAUGCGCAUUCGCGUCAAAGGUGGUGGUCACACCUCGCAGAUCUAUGCUAUCCGUCAAAGUAUCGCUAAAGCUCUUGUCGCCUUCUAUCAGAAGUACGUUGACGAGCAGAGCAAGAAGGAAAUCAAAGAUAUUUUGGUCAGGUAUGAUAGGACUUUGCUUGUAGCUGAUCCCAGGCGAUGCGAGCCAAAGAAGUUCGGUGGUCGUGGUGCUCGCGCCAGGUUCCAGAAGAGUUACCGUUGAAUUCGGUAUUAUGCUUUUUUAUGUUUCUGUUAUUUUCCAAAGUGUUUUGAAUUAUGGAUUUUGCUAUUUGAGGACUAAAAAUGUGAUGGAUUUUUGUUGUUUUUCUCUUAGUACACCCAUUGCCUAGUUUUGUUGUUUGGAUAAUUUAAUGGUUAUAUUAUAGCUAGUUGAUUAAACUCAGUUAUGCUUUUGUCUGAUCAAAGUUAAUAGCUUUAUGGUGUUUAGAGUAUUAAUGGUUUGGUUUAUAUACGGUUUGCUGGGUUUUGAUUCUAAAACAUGAAAUGGCAAGAAUAAAUUUUUUUUAAUGGGUUUUUUCUUACAAUUGAAAAAAAAAAAAAAGAAAGCCAUUCGAGCUUCAUUAGCAUUUUUGGCUCUUUUUUUUUUUUUUUUUUUUUUUUUUAUCAUAAUCUGGAUUAUGAUGCUUAUUGUGUUCCCUCCUCGUAGCUUGGAACUGGAGUAAAUUCUGAAUGUAAGAAGAAUCCUUUAAUUUGGUGAAAUUAUUUUUGUUCAAUUUUGUUAAUAGGCAACACGAGUAAAUUCUCCCUGCUGCUUCAACCUAGGGUUAGAUAGAAAUCCCUUGAUUGAAAAUUAAAACUUUGUAGUACUUGUUUUCCUUGUUUAAAUUGGAAAACAAAGAAAUUGGGAAAACAGGUACCAACAAAACUAUGGGAAAGAGAUGAUGAAACUUUUCUUCAUAUUAUCAUUUUGUAUUCUCAAUAAGUUCUGGCAACAAAUGUUGUUGUAUCUAUGUACAGAUUCUUGAAACUAGGGAUUAUAUAACUAUAAUCAUGGAUUUGGAUUUUACAACUAUAAAUAUAGAACUCCUUGAAGGGACCAGAAUCACGGAUUAGUUCCAUUACAAGAUGUACCUGCAAGUCAUUAAUCAUACAGACACCAUAAAAUUAAAAACUUAUUGAUGUCUGUAACAACUAUGGCAAGAAGAUUAGAAGACCCACAGAUUGAUUGCUUGAAUGAUUUCCAAAGUAUGAGUUUUUUCAGUCAUAAUAAACUUUUGACAGUAUAUUAUAUUGAUAGUUUAACCCUGUACCUUAAUUCCCAAAGAAGGGAAAAGAUCGCAACAAAACUAACAAGCAUGAGUGGUAAAAUACAUAUGGCGAUCGAGCUAUGGCCUCGAGUUAAUCUUGAGGGUGGAGAAAUUUGAUGACAGGAUAUGGAUGGAAUCCAAUUGUACAAAAGCAUACUGAAAAUUAUAUAAUGUGUACAAGAAAACUUUUAUCUUAAAAUACUCAUUUUCUCUAAAGAAGUAUGUGAAAAUACUCGGCAUGAGAGCUGAACUAGGAAUCGUCAGAGUAUGAUAUGUUAUAAUGUAAACAUCAUUAAGAAAACAGCUACUGCUUUACAAAAAAAUAAUUAUGAUUUUUCCAAUGGUAAUGCAUUUCAAUCCUCUGCAAGAAUCCUUUUUCCUUCAGUUUGUGCCGCCCCUUCUCUGAGGGAAAGGUAAUGUGCAGUGAUGAAACCUGGGACUGCAAAAGUCAUGGCACCAUAUUAAUAAGAAUAUUACAUUUUAAAACAGUAAACUAAUUUUGGGUUUUACAGUAAAUGAAACAUAAAUGCUUCAAAAAUGCGAAGUAUAUAAUUUCAAAAUAACAGACUCACUGACAAGUUUUUUUUUGAAAGAAAAUGUAACAAUUAAAGGAACUAGAUGUGGUUAGCGAUCUCAAUCUCCAUAAAGGGUGAGAACACAAGUUCGAACAUCGGGAAGAACACUUUGCUGGGAAAGCUAAAAACCUUUAUAUUCUAUAGCUCAAAGGAUUAUAAACCUCCUUGUUAUACGGGGAAAAAAAAAAAGAACGCUGAAAUAAAUGCACAAAUUCCUUCAACAUUAAACUGUGAGAUGUGUGUUUCUUACAUAAGUCGCUUCAGUGAGAAACAAAUGUUUAAAUAGAAUUAGAAAGAUAGAGAGAGAGAGAGAGAGAGAGAGAGAGAGAGAGAGGAUGCUUUAUGAGAAGAAUAAAUCUUUGCAUUUGAGUUUGCUAGAUAUAACAACAUAGAAUAAAAACAUGAAUGAAAGCAGAGCUGCUAUAAUACGAUUUCACUUCCCUGGAAAUUUGCUAAAUAGAAGGAGAUCUGUUCCUCUCUGGCCUUAUGUUAAGCCCAACACCUUACCAUUUGAAACGGGCCCAACUUGUUUUAUUCUAUUUCAGAGGCCUUUUUCUAAUUAUCUAUAUUUUACCAGCAAAACGCAUCGUUUCUACAAGCCAAAACCCUAAUAGCCGCUGUAUAAAAUACGCUAUCCCUCUUUUUUCCGUCUUACAUUAUAACUAGCUGUCCUUUGUUCCACUCUCAAACCCUAACAAUGGCAGCGGCUCCAAUCGAGUCAGUCCAGUGCUUUGGACGCAAGAAGACCGCUGUGGCUGUCACCUACUGCAAGCGUGGAAGAGGCCUAAUCAAGAUCAAUGGAUGCCCAAUCGAGCUAGUGGAGCCUGAGAUCCUCCGUUUCAAGGCAUAUGAGCCUAUCCUUCUUCUUGGACGACACCGUUUUGCUGGCGUCGACAUGCGCAUUCGCGUCAAAGGUGGUGGUCACACCUCGCAGAUCUAUGCUAUCCGUCAAAGUAUCGCUAAAGCUCUUGUCGCCUUCUAUCAGAAGUACGUCGACGAGCAGAGCAAGAAGGAAAUAAAAGAUAUUUUGGUCAGGUAUGAUAGGACUUUGCUUGUAGCUGAUCCCAGACG